rnacentral:lncRNA from 1 species
CUCAAUCAACACGAGAACAACGUUGUUGUUUACGCACUAACGAUCGGAACGAAAGCUCUCACUUUCUCACUCGAUCUCGCUCUCUUCUUCUUUGUCAAGCUCUACUUUACAAUCUCUCGUUCUCCCUCUCCCGGCCUCUCACUUUUCUCAUUGUUACUUUUUUUUGUUUUACUCUUUUUUGGUUUGUCUGUGUGGCUAUUUUGUGGUUCUUUGAUUCUUUUUUUAGGUUUUUGUGUCCGUGAUGGAUUCCCCGCCAGGUACUCCGAUUUCAUCACUCUCUCAUACUGUGGCCACUCCGUCACUUCCGUCGGCACCGAAAAAGAAACCCCAACAGUCUAUGGCAAGGUUUAUUCUGCACUCUUUAGAUGAUAUUACCGAAAUGGUUCAGGAAAUUAUUCUAGUUCUUUGAUUCUUUUUUUAGGUUUUUCCUAUCCGUGAUGGAUUCCCCGCCAGGUACUCCGAUUUCAUCACUCUCUCAUACGGUGGCCACUCCGUCACUUCCGUCGGCACCGAAAAAGAAACCCCAACAGUCUAUGGUAAGGUUUAUUCUGCACUCUUUAGAAGAUGUUAGCGAAAUGGUUCAGGAAAUUAUUCUAAGGCGUGAGUACAGCCAAGAAGCAUUGAAUGCUGAGAGAGAAAGAAAAAUGCGCAUUUUGAUGUCACUGCGAUAGUCAUUCAUUGCUUGCGUGAGUAUGAUUCUUGUGUUGGUUGGUAACGUGGUAUGAUUAUCUGUUCCCUUAUUCCUUUCAAUUUAUAUUUGGUAAGAAUCUAAGUUUAUAGAUUUAUAUACGUUUUUAUGCCAAAAUAUAAAAUAUGCCUUCGAUUUUGAUUUUUAUACUAAAGAAAGUACCUAUUUUAUAUUAUGAAUCUAUGAUGAAUGAAGAUACUUCUAUAGACGGAUAUGUGUUAGGUAACAAUUUAUGUGUUUCAAUUGUUUAUGAUUCUUAUUCUAAAAUCUAUAAUAAGUCUCCUAAAGUUAGUCCUCUUUAUCUUUUUAUCUUAAUAUUGUUUAUGUUAUGUCAAUGCCACUCUUGUAACUAUUCGAAUAUUUGAGUACUCACUACCAACAUGUUCUAAUACCCUCUCAUUCACUAUCUAAGGUAUGUUCUUUUCUUUGCCAAAACUAUUUUGAAUCUAUUACUAACUUGAUCGUUGGAGUCUUUGCAGGUACCACACCCAUUGCUCAUGAGCGGAAACAAUUUUGGCAACAACAGUUGGUCAAUCUAAUCUACUCAUUCUAAAAUCUAUACUAAAUCUCCUAAACUUAGUCCUCUUUAUCUUUUUAUCUUAAUAUUGUUUAUGUUCUGUCAAUGCCCCUCUUGUAACUAUUCGAAUAUUUGAGCACUCACUACCAACAUGUUCUAAUACCCUCUCAUUCACUAUCUUAGGUAUGUUCUUUUCUUUGCCAAAACUAUUUUGAAUCUAUUACUAACUUGAUCGUUGGAGUCUUUGCAGGUACCACACCCAUUGCUCAUGAGCGGAAACAAUUUUGGCAACAACAGUUGGUCAAUCUAAUCUACUUCAUAUUUGGACAAUCAUUCUAGAAAUGAACAUGUAAGUAGUAUCUUAAUUACUACAUCUCUUCUAUGUGGAAAAAGGUGAGAAAUUUUUGUGAUUCAAUUGUUUAUGACUCUCAUUCUAGAAUCUAUCAAUAUCUUAAAAUUAGUCCUCUUUUUCUUUUAUCUUGAUAUUGGUUAUGUUUUGUCAUGGCCCCUUCUUGUAACAAUUUAUAUCUGCAUAAUGGAUCACACAUUUGAUUGCUUUUAUCUGCUGUCGGUAGCUUGUCCCUGUCCUUCUCAACCUCCAAGUGUCGUUUGUCUGCUUGAGGUUGAAAUUGGCCUACAUUCAAGAGAUGUAAGCAUACACGCAGUAUAUUCCACCACGAGCCUUUCUAGAUCAUUACUCCAAAUCCUAAGAUUGAGUAUUUCUUUUCAACACUUGUUAGGAUUAGGCAAUAGUAUAUAAUUGAAACCAAGAGAUCUCUGUUCAACACAUGUCCAAUGCUUUCUCUGCUUACAUCAAGUGACCAUUUUACUUCCUCUGGUUCACAAUACAAUAUAUCUGGAUUGAUGUGAAACUUUGAAGUUCUAGGAGGUCAGAUUAUUUCCUUUCUUUGUAGUGUUACAAUAUUGUUUCAUUUGGCCUAUUGUUUUUAUCUUGACCUUAAUUUGUAUAAACUUCAGCUUCCAUGAUAUUGUUAUUUUUAUUUUCCAUUCUGGGUUGUUAAUCUACUCUUAAUAAUUAAAAUAAAUAUGUUAACAUCUUAUAUGCAUAUGUUUGAUUUUACUUUUGGAGCAUGUAAAAUUGAUUUAAAUUGAUCGUGACAAGUUUGGUUGUUAUUGAGUAGAAUUGAUUGUCUCCUCUAGAGUUGAUUUUUAACUUUGGAUUUAUCACUCAACCUACUUUGACAAGCAACAUAAAUUGUUUUAACAACAACUCACGAUUAAUCAAAAUCAAUUUUUUAUAAUUAAUAGUUAUAUUUUUUUUUACAGAAGAAUAUUAGCAAUUUUUAUUGUCAAGUAGUUUUAAUCAUUAUUUUAGCUCUUGAAAGUAUAAGACGCUCAAAACUGAAUCCUCUUUUUUUUUAAAAAAAAAAUAAGUACUUUUUUUUUAUUGUUUUACCUUAUGUUGAUGAUCUUGUUAUUGUUGGAACUUGUCUACUUGAUAUACAAAGUAUUAAAACAAUUACUAGAUAAUAAGUUCAACAUUGAAUAUUUGAAAACAUUAAAAUAUCUUUUGGAUUUCUAAGUGGAUAUUUCCUUACUCAAAUGAAUAUACCCUUGACUUGAAUAUUAAGGUUGUUGGCUCCUAAACCUACUUCCAAAUCCAUGAAUUGGUUUAAAGCUUUGUUUAAAAUUUUGACAACCCUUGUUGGAUCCAAUUGGUUUUGAACACAAAUAGAUAGAUUGUUUUAUCUAAAAAUCUUAAUAUAUAUAUAUAUAUAUAUAUAUAUAUAUAUAUAUAUAUAUAUUUGCAGUAAAAUAAAUUUAAUUCACAAUAGAAUAAAAAUAAUAUAAUCAAAUUUAAUGAUUAAUAAAACAAAAAGUACAUUAGUAAUAUACAUAAAAAUUAAAGAAAUUAAUGAAAAAUCACCUAAUCAAAAUCUUAAUCUUAACAAUCAAACUAUAGUCUUCUACCGGUCAAUGGCUAAAAAUAAUGUGAUAUGUACGAUCUUUAAUGUCAUCCAUUUUCGAAAAAAAGAAAUAUUUGUUGAUGUUCGUUCAUAUCGAUUAUAAGUCAUAUCUAACAUGACGAAUUCAACUAUGUAUUGACAGCAUUUGUAAAGUUGAGAGAGUGUUGAAUUUGGUGUAAGCCUCCAUAAAUCUGUUUCCUAAAAUAUGGUAUCGACAAAAUGAGUCAUUUGAUUUUAUAGACACCACACCAAAAUGGAAAAACAAAAUAUAACAUACUAUAAUGACGAACACACAACAAAAAAAUUGGCCUAUCGUGACACACAAUAUUUCAAUGAGAUGUUCAAUAAGAUGUAGUUUCGAUGAGAUUAAACUACUAGAGUUAUGGAUUUUUAAGUUCUUACCAGUGAAAUGAGAUGUUAGGGAUUUCCAUGAGCUGUGCAAAAAGUGCAAAAAAGAAAAGAGAGAACUAGUUAGGGUUUGCAAAUCAAUUAAUAAAUGUUCAUUUACCAACAAAAAAUCAUGAAAAUAGAACAAAUUAGAGAGAGCAAACUAGAUAACGACAAUGAACGAGAGUGAAACAGAGAACUUGUGAAGGAGACGUUGAAGUGGCGGCCAGAGAGCUUGAGCGGCGGCCGGAGAGCUCUUAGCGGUGGUCGGAGAGCUCUUAGCGGCGGCGGCAAACUGGUUUGUUGUAACAAGUGGAAGAAGAAGGGUUUCCAGUGAAAGAGUGAGAAUGAUCCAGACUCGUUUAGUUUUUUUAAUAAGAAAGUAAUAAUGAACUUUCCUUUCACUUAACCUGUUUUGCACUAAAAAUUAGAUAAAUAAGAAUAAGUGACACUCUGUCUGUAGCUAAAAGUAAUUAUAGUGACAAAUAAAGAAAUAUUAAUAUAACUUUAGUGUCACAAUAGAUAUUUUUUCUUGUAGUGACAAAUCAAUGUCGCAAUUAGAUAAUUAAAUCAUAAAUAAAAUACAAAAAAAGAAGUAAAUUUGUGUAGAAAAUCAAUUAUUUAACUAAAAGCAGGAAUAAAAUAAUUUAGAGAGGUAAUUUAGAGAGGUGAUUUUAGAUAAAUAAAUAAAUAAAUAACUCAAAGUUAUCCAUCAAAUGAACAAAGUAAAAGAGAAUAAGAGAAUAAGCUAGGUUAUUUGCUAAAAAACAACUUUAGGCUACAAGUCAAUUCUUCGACAUAUCUUAUAUUGUUUGUAUUAGUUAUAUGUCGAUUCUUCUAUUCUCCUUUUGCCACUCAUCUCUAGGUUGCAUUAAGGAUUCUAAAUUAUUUGAAGGUAAACUAGUGAAAGAUUUUUCACAACAACAUCCAUUAUUAUGUUCCAACUCUCUAGUUGUUUUGCGAUUCUGAGUGGAACUCAUAUCAGAUCUAGAAGAUAACAACAAGCUUUUGUUUCUCUCUUGGCAACUCUUUAAUUCCAUGGAAAAGUAAGAAACAUUCAAUUGUUUCUCAUUCUUCAUCGCAACCAGAAUAUAGAGCUUUAGAAUUCUAUUAUUUUAAUAUAUCGUUGUUUGAUUGUUUAAAAACAAAGUCAUGUCCAUUAAUAGUUGUGAUGUGUCGACGGUGUAAAAAAAUUUACACUAACGGUGAUUAACAAUUAAACUCUUAAAUUUGUGGUACAAUAAAUAAAAUACAUUAUUAUUAUUAUUGUGGGUAUAUAAAUUAAUAUAAUUAUAAAUAAAAUUACAUAAUAAAUAUUUUUGUUUGUUUUUACAGAAGAAUAAUAGAAAUUUUUAUUUAGUUUUAAUCAUCAUUUUAGCACUUGAAAGGAUAAGACGCUCAUAACUGAAUACUCUUUUUUUUUUUUAAAAAAUAAGUACUUUUUUUUAUUGUUUUAACUUAUGAUGAUGAUCUUGUUAAUGUUGGCACGUGUCUACUUGAUAUACAAAGUAUUAAAACAAUUACUAGAUAAAAAGUUCAACAUUGAAGAUGUUGAAACAUUAAAAUAUCUUUUGGAUUUUGAAGUGCUUACCCAAAGAAAAUAUACCUUUGACUUACUUGAAUAUCAGGGUUGUUGGCUCCUAAACCAACUUCCAAAUCCAUGAAUUUGGUUUAAAGCACUCUUUAAAUUUUUGACAACCUUAUCUGAUCCAAUUGAUUUUUGAACACAUAGAUACAUUGUUUUAUCUAAAAAAUUUAAUAUAUAUAUUGACAAUAAAAUAAAUUUAAUUCACCCUAGAAUAAAAAUAACAUACAUAAAAAUUGUAGAAAUUAAUGAAAAAUCACAUAAUCAAAAUCUUAAUCUUAACAAUCAAACUAUAGUCUUCUACCGGUCAAUGGCUAAGAAUAAUGUGAUAUGUACGAUUUUUAAUGUCAUCCAUCUUUGAAAAAAAGAAAUAUUUGUUGAUGUUCGUUCAUAUCGUUUAUAGGUAAUAUCUGACAUGAGGAAUUCAACUAUAUAUUGACAAGUCAUUUGUAAGAUUGAUUCCUCUCUUCUCCUUUUUCUAUUCAUCUUUAGGCUGCAUUAAGGAUUCUAUAUUAUUUGAAUGUAAACUAGAAAGAUUUUUCACACAACAUCCAUCAUUUGGUUCCAACUCUCCAAUUGCCCUAUUACUAGGGUAAUUUUUGUAAUAGGGUAAUUUUUCUGGUUUUUGUGUUGUAGUAUUCAAUUGGGACGACGUGUUUAAGUCAAAUUGUAAUGGUGAGAUUAAUUGGGAUUGGAUAGCAGGUCUUAUUGUUUUUGGUUGUAUGUAAGUUGUUUGAUAAAAAGGUGGUAAUGAUAAUGGGGCUAAUGGAGUAAACAUGUUUUGGUUUGGUGGAGGAAGAAGAGAGAGUUUAUAAUACAUGUUUCAUUGUGGGUGUUUUUGUAAUUUUUUCUUCAAUAAUUGGGGAUUCAUACUUUAUGACUCAUUGUGCUUUCCCUGUAAAAAUUCUCUUGUAAGAAAAUAUGGUAAUGAGUUUUUCUCUCCUUUAAUAUGUUCUAUUUCGAAAUCAAAACAAGAAAGUAAAGAUUGCCAUCUAGCAAAACUAUGUUUAGAAAUCAGGUUUUUAACAUCCUUUUGCAAAACAUCUUUUGUUGCUUUACAAUCAGUUUUUAAUAAAAAUUUCUUCGAAAAUAAGUCAUCUUGAAAUUUUGUAAUGCAUAAAACAAUUGCCAAAAUCUCUUUUUAACAGUACUAUAUUUUAGUUGAGUUGUGUUCCAUAUUCUAGAGUAAUAUCUCACUAUUUGCUCUUUUGGGUUUCCUGGUAAUUUUUGUUUUUACACUCUUCCAUAACCUAACUCUGAUGAGUCAGUCUCUACUAUUAAUAGGGCUUGAGGAUCUAGAAUUCCUAAGCAAGAUAAUUUUUUAAUUAUUUGUUUUAAGGUUUUGACACUAUCGGCCAUAGUCUCAUCCAAUUUGGGUGGAUUUUUUCUUAGUCUUUUAAAUAAAGGUGAACAUAUAAUCCUAAGGUUGGGAAUAAAGUCUGCUACAUAAUUUAAACAUCCUAAGAAUCUUUGUAAUUGAGUUUUGUAUUUUAAUUCAUUAGGAAAUUUUUCUCCAAAUUCUAUUGACCUACUAAUUUGUGUUAUUGUUCCUUGAUAAAUGUUGAAUCAUAAAAAUCUAAUAUUAUCCUGAAAUAAUUUUAUUUUCUUGGCUGACACCACUAAUCCUUUUUCUUUAAUAAUAUUAAAGAAUUUUUUCUAGAUGAUCAAAGUGUUGAUUAAUACUUUUUGAAAAUACUAAUACGUCAUCUAAGUAUAUAAUAGUAAAACGUUGUAAUUAUUAAAAAUGUCAUUCAUAAUAUUUUGGAAUUCACUGGGUGCAUUCUUUAAUCCGAAGGGCAUAACAUUCCAUUUGUAAUGUCCAAAGGGUAAUACAAAGGCUUUUUUAUAUUUAUCCUCUUCUUUUAUUUGUAUUUGGUAAUAUGCUGAUUUCAUGUCAAAUUUAGAUAAUACAAAUGAACUGUGCAAUCUACUUACUAAAUCGUUUUUAUUGGGUAUUGGAUACCUAAUCCAUUGUAAUACUUUAUUUAAUGAUUUAUAAUUUAUAACUAAUUUGAGGGCUGCUCUUUCUAAUUUUGUUGAGUUCAUUACAUAGAACCCUACACAACUCAGGGAGACUUACCAGGUCGUAUUAAUCCUUUAUCUAAGUAUUCUUGUAUUUCCUUUUUACAAUAAUCUAGGUAUUGUUGAUUAAUUUGUAUUGGUCUUGCCUUAGUGGGAAUGUUUCUCUCAUUAAAAUUGAGUUCAUAAGGAAGAGAGACCACAUGCUUCAUUCUUGUCCAGAAAGCAUUAGGGUGAUCUGCACAAAUUUCUUUUUCAAAUUUAUCUUGUAUAAUUUUAUUUUGUAAUUGUUCUUCUAUUCUUUUAUAAUGAAUCUCUUUGUUUAUCAUUCCUAUUUGUUUCUUCUUUUGAGAAAUUAAAUUAAUUUUAUUAUGACUUGAUGUCGAUGCUUCCUGUAGCAUUUAAUUCUUUAAUUUUGGGUUUUUGAACAACCUCAAAUUUUAUUGUUUUUCCUAAUGCUUUUUUAGUAAGACCUUCAUGUGAUACAAUGAAUAGGUAUAUUAAUGCUAAGAAAGGGUUUCCUAUAAUUACACUUUCUCUAAUGUCUUUUACUAAUAAAAAUGAAGUAUGAUAACAAAUUCCAUUUUUACAGACUUUUGCAUCAGGUAAUUUAAUAGUAACACCUAAUCUAGAACCAUUGGCUCCACUUAAUCUUUCUAGGGUUUUUUUCGUAAUAUUUAGUGGGUAUUAAUCCUUCUUGGAUACAAUUAGAGUCUGCACCAGAAUCAAAUAAUGUAAUAAACUCAAAUUUUUUAUUUUUAAUAAUUAUAGUUAUUGGACAGUACCAUUUGUGUACAAUUAAUUUAUUUAACAAAAAUAAAUAAGGUUCUUAUUCUUUUAUAUCAUUAUUAUUACUACUACUUUCUAACUUAAGUUGUUGUUCUAAUAUACUUUUUUCUUUUAAUUCUAAAUACUUAACAUCUAAUUCUAAAUCCUUUUGUUUUAAUAAUUGAAUUUCUUGUUUUUAUAGAAGUAAUUUCAUUCUGCAAGUCUUUAAUAGUAAUUGGUGGGGUAAUAAUGAGUUUAAAUCUAUUCAUUUUUUCUUUAAAUUCUACUUUAUGAACUAUUUCCUUUUCUAUUUGUUCUUUUUAUAUAAUUCCUUGUAUCUGAAUCAUAAAUUCUUCAUUUUGAUUUGAAUCAAGCAUUUUUCUUAAUACUUCUAUAAGAGUACUAGCUUGAUCUGUAGUAAUCAUAUUAAUUCCCUUAGUACAAUCAUUACAGUUACAUAACUCUAGACCUAAACAAUAAUUUUCUUCUGAUUCUGAUUUUUCGGAUAUAUUAUUAACAUAUUCUUCUUCAUAAGAUGAUUCUUCCAAAGAAUUAGAGGAUUCAUCAAUCAACAUAAUUCCUUCUAAGAUAUUAAUAAGACUUUCUUUUAAUUCUUUUUGUAUUUCUAAUUUACAGAUUUCAUUCAUUUUUUGUUUUACUCUACAAUUUUUUGCAUAAUGUCCUAGUCUUCCACAUUUAAAACAUUUAAUUUCUUGUUUAUUAAAGACUUUUUUUAUUAGUUCUUUUAAUUUUUUGUGUUUUCUUUAUUGGUUCUUUUGGGGGUGUAAUUAUUAUUAUAAUUUUUCUUUUUGUCUAAAUGUUUGUUUUGGAUAACUUUUAUUUAAGUUUUUUACUGGGAUCUUUAAUCAUCUCUAUUCCGAAUUGUUCACAAAAUGAUCCUAAUUCUUUUCUACUUUGUACUACUUCUGAUCUAAUUUUAUUCUGUAUCUUAAAAUCUGUGCAUAUUCCUAUUUCGGUCGCUAUUAUAUUUAUUGGCCGAUUUUUUCCAAUUCUAAUUCAUCAUGUCUCCUAAUAAUUCAGCUACCUUUAAUGUCACAUUUUUUUUCUUUAACAUUAUUAAAUAAAAUGGAUUAGUGGUGUCAGCCAAGAAAAUGAAACUAUUUCAGGAUAAUAGUAGAUUUUUAGGAUUCAACAUUUAUCAAGGAACAAUAACACCAAUUAGUAGGUCAAUAGAAUUUGGAGAAAAAUUUCCUAAUGAAUUAAAAGACAAAACUCAAUAAUAAUAAUAAUAAUAAUAAUAAUAAUAAUAUGUAAUAAUAAUAAUAAUAAUAAUAAUAAUAAUAAUAAUAAUAAUAAUAAUAAUAAUAAUAAUAAUAAUAAUAAUAAUAAUAAUAAUAAUUAUUAUUAUUAAUUUUGAUGUAUUUUUUUUCUAUUAAAUGUACUUUGAUUUUUUAAAAUAUUUUUAUUAUUUAUAUUACUUUUUCAUUUAUUAGAUUGCAUUGGUCAGCACUCAAGUGGAUUAUGAGGUACUUAAAUGGCUCACUGACAGCAGGUUUAAAAUUCAAAAAGAAUCAUCAUGACAAUGAACCAAUCAAAUGAUAUGUGGACUCGGAUUAUGCUAGAAUCAUGGACACUAGAAAAUCAAUUUCUAGUUAUGUUUUCACUCUAUAUGGGACUGCUGUAAGUUGGAGAGCAAUUACGCAGUCGGUGGUAGCACUUUCUACAACUCAAGUUGAAUUCAUUGCGCUUACUGAAAGUGUUAAAGAAGCUUUAUGGAUAAAAGGACUUAUUGGUUAACUAGGAAUAAAUCAGAAUUGUGUUUCAAUUUAUUGUGAUAGUCAAAUUGCUAUGCACUUAUCCAAGCAUCAAGUGUAUCAUAAAAAGUUUAAACCUAUUGAUAUUAAGUAUCACUUCAUAACAGAUGUGAUCAAUUCAAAGCAGGUUUCACUUGAGAAGAUUGCAACUGAGGACAACUUAGCUGAUGCAUUCACCAAAUCACUUUCACAAGCUAAGUUCAAGCAUUGUUUGGACAUAGUUGGCUUCAACAAAGAGUAAAGAUGAAGCAAUGGCAGCAAGAUCAAUUAUUGAACUAUUCUGAUAUUGAGUCAAGGUGGAGAAUUGUGAAUAUGUGCCUCAAAUCAUCUAACUAAAGUUAGUUAAGCUUUAGUGGUUUUUAUAACUACAUUUGGCAAGGUUAGUUAUGAUAGGUGUUUAUAGUUAGUUUGCUUGUGUAUACUAUAAGUUGUAAUAUUGUAGCAGUUGUAAUGUUGUUGUUGUAGUAGUAACAGUUGGAAACUAAGAGAGACAUAUGCAACUCAUGAUUCAUAGAAUAUCAUAGAGAGAUGAUUAAAAUGAGAGAAAGAAAGAUUAAGAGAAAGGCUAGUAUUGAUGGUUCAUAAAUGGAGAAGGCUUUAAUCUUGUAGAGUUCAAUUAACAAUAGUGGAUUAAUCUUGCUUGUUUGCUUGUGACAUAGAUCUCAUCAAUUGAAACCGAACACAUAAAUUUUUUGUGUUAUUCUUUCCUUAUCCUUCUUUAAUUUUAAUGUGAAAACUGUUUCAGAACAUUCUCUGUUUUUAGCAGAAAAACCCAAAACGUUCUCCGUUUUCUGGUUUUUUCAGUUCUGUCUAGAACGUUCUCUGUUUUCAGCAGAAAAUGCAGAACGCUCUCUUUUUUAUUUUUUAUCUGCAAUUGCUUGUUUUUCUGUUUUGUGGGUUAACUCUUGUUGCAGAUCCCAAUAUUGUUUUAAGAGAAUGUAUUUAUAUCAAGUUUUCAGCUAAAUAGUAAAAAUCUCAUAGGGCGUGAGGAUGGGACGUAGCUCAAAGUUAAGGGUUAAUUAGGAUAAAUUUUUGUGUGAUUUUAUUUACUUUAAUCUUGUAACCUUGUACAUUAGUCACACUGCAUCAUUGCCAUUUACAUUUUCCAUUAUAUAAUUCUGAUAAAGAACAUUUUCUUUGUUUUUAAAUAUAAAUUUUUAAAGGUAACAAUUCAAUCCUCCCUUUUUCUGAGAUGUUAUUCUACUUCAGCCAUCACCAUCAUUACUACAACUACCAUUAAGCCGUCAAAAUGGACUAGUCCAAAUGGAUCGACCUAAAAUGCUCGAUAAAAACAUAAGACUUGGAUUCUAAAUUUCACAUUCGAUUUUAAAUAGGGCUUUUUGGCCCGGCCCUAAAAAGCUCUUACAUAUGGUGGGCUAGCUCGAUCGGGCUAAGGGCAACUACUGUAUUUUAAUAUUAUUACAUCAACAUUAUUAGAUUAGUUGUUAUACACUCGAUGUAAUAAACAAAGUGGUGGUAAAUUUGUUAUUAACACAAACUAUGUCAAGUCUUUUCUCAUUGGAGUGUUCUAAUAAGCAAAUUAAAAAAAAAAAUUAAAAACUACUCCCUAAACCCAAAAAUCAUAAUAUAGAACAUGUACACUUUUCAUCUCCAUCACAAGAACUCGCUUUUUUGCUUCCUUUUGUAGAUUUGCCUCCCAACAACUGUCAUCGCCAUUUCUUAUUCUUCCCUUUCCAUCGAGAAGCGUUGUUGUCACUUUCGACAGUGUUGUCGUCACUUUCGACAGUGUCGUCGUUAUUGUUUAUUUCUUUGUUGAGAAGUGUUCUAGGUUCCUAUCUUUUUUUUUCCUCCGCCGAUGUUUUUUUUUUGUGGUGAACAGAAGACAAAGCCAACUAUUUUCUAUGCGUUUUUCCCAAAUAGGUUUGUUCCUUUCUCAACUUUUUCAAUUUUAAAUUUCUAUAAUUUUCUAGUAAUUCUUGUUUCUUACUUAACAAUUUUGAUUCUAGUUCACUUACCUAUAUUUUUAAUUUUUCAAAUAUGGUUAAAUGUGGUUGAAAAAUAAUGAAAAGACUAUCAAAUUAUUAUAAUUUCAUUUAUUGAUUUCAGAUUGAUGUUAGGUUUUUGUUCUCUUUCAAGUUUUUAUUAUUCAUUGAGAAUGUGUUAGACAUGAUAUUAUUAUUUUGCUGUUAGUUUUUUGUGCUCGUUCAAGUUUUUAUGAUUCAAUGUGGUGCAAAGUGGUUAGUUCAAAUUCUACUAUGCUACAUUGCUAUUGUGCUGCAAUAGCGGCUAUUUGACAACACUUUAUACCUAAUAGUGUAUUGUUGAACAAUACCGAUUUCAAAAAAAGAAGAGUGGUUCAAUUAAUUAGUCCAACCAGAUUCACUUUCACUGUUGUAUUCUGAUUUUGACAUUUGAGUAUAAUUUUGAAUCAUUGUUGUUGUAUUAGUUGUUGAGUUGCUAUUUUCCAAAGUUUGAUUUUGGUUGUGAUUAAGGAAAUUAAUAUAUGAGAAAUGUAUACAUAUAUUUAGUACUUUUUCGAUUUAGGAACUCCUAUAAAAUCUAGCCAAAUAGAAAGUUCAUCCUCCAAGAAGACUGAAGAUGUCAUAAAAAAGGAAAGCUCAGAGUAUCCUCUAUCUGAGGAUGAGGAUGAACUCGCUCUGAUUUCCAGAAGAAUUAAGAGGAUGAUAAACAGAAGAGGACAGGAUAAAAGAUAUCCUCAAAAAGAAAAAACUGACAAAAGUCAAAUAACUUAUUUUGGAUGCAACAAUAUUAGAGACUACAAAACUGAGUGUCCUCUAAACAAAAGAAACUCAAAAAGAUUUCCCUUCAAAAAUAAAUCUAUGAUGAUUACUUGGGAUGACACUGACGAGUCAUCCUCUGAACAAGAGAAUGAAGAAGAGAUCAACCUCUAUCUCAUGGCAAAAUCAGAUACUGAAAAGGUAAUCAUCUCAGAACUAUGUCGUACGUGUGAAAAGUUAAAAAUUGAAUUUGACAAUCUUUUAAAUGACUCAAACACCUUAUCUCAUUAAUGUGGUUUUCUCAAAAAUCAAUUUUAUGAAAUAAAGAACCUCAAUGAGGAACUUCAAGCUAAGAAUGAGAAGUAUGAAAAAAUCAUUCUAGAUUUGCAGUUAUCUCAUGAGAAAUUAUCUGAGCAACAUACUUUUUUAAAUUAAAAGAAAGUCAAAAGUCAUCCUCCAGAAGAGGACACGGAAAAGGAAAUCUUGAAAAUAGAAGUUGAAGAAUUAAAAAAUGACAUUAUCAACUUUGUUAAAUCUACUGAAACAUUUCAAAAGAUUAUGAGAUCUCAAUCUGGAAUCUUUGACAAAGCUGGUAUUGGAUUUAAAAGUUCUCAAAAACAAAAAUUAUAUGAAAAUUUUUUCCUGCCAAAAUGUACUUUUUGAAAAAAAACUUGGACAUACUUUCAAAAACUGUCAUGUUAAGAAGAAAGCUGACAACAUAAAGAAAGUAUGUUCAUUUUUGUGGUAUACAUGAGCACCAUGAUCUUGUUUGUUAUCACAAAAGGAAAAUCCUCACAAGAGGAAAAACUAAUCAACAAGGACCCAAUGCUAUAUGGGUACCCAAGUUACUUUUAACCUCUAACACAGGUUCAUCCUCUAAUCAACAAAAGAAAGCCUUGGUACUUGGACAGUGGCAGCUCAAGGCAUAUGACAUGGGAUAAGCACUGCUUUAUUUCCUUGGAGAUAAAGGAUGGAGGAUCAGUCACGUUUGGUAACAAUGAUAAAUCUCAAAUAAAAGGUACAAGUAUUAUUGGUAAAAAUAAUUCUGCUAAAAUUGAAAAUGUUCAGUAUGUGGAUGGUUUAAAACAUAACUUGCUAAGUAUUAGUCAAUUAUGUGAUAGUGGGUUUGAAUUUAUUUUUAAGCCCACUCUAUGCGAGGUUAAACAUUCAUCAUUGGGUAGAGUUUUCUUUUCCGGUUUUAGAAAAAAUAGUUUAUAUGAACUAUAUUUGGAUUAUUUACCUACUAAAUCUUGUUUUGUAUCCAUUGAGAAGGAUAAAUGGAUUUGGCACAAACAAGCUGGACACACAAGCUUAAAUACUAUUUCUAAAUUAGCAAAAUUAGAAUUAGUGAAAGGUCUUCCAAAAAUUAAUUUUGAGAAAAACAAAGUAUGUGAGACUUGUGUCAAAGGAAAACAAGUUAAUAGUAGCGUUCACUCAAAAAAUAUUAUUUCAACAAAUCAUCCUCUUGAACUUAUUCACAUUGACCUCGUUGGUCCUAUCAAAACUCCAAGUCUUAGUGGAAAAAGAUAUAGUUUUGUAAUUGUUGAUCAUUUCUCUCAUUUUACAUGGGUUUUAUUUUUAAAACAUAAAGGUGAAGCUUCUGAGGCAUCCCACCAUUGUUGCAAAAAGAUUCAAAAUGAAAAGGGAUAAAAAAUUGUCUCAGUGAGAAGUGACCAUGGAGGUGAAUUCAAAAAUGAAUCAUUUGAAAAUCUUUUUGAAGAAUAUGGUAUUUCUCACAAUAUUUCUUGCCGAAGAACUCCCCAACAAAAUGGAUUUGUUGAAAGGAAAAAUAGAACUUUACAAGAAAUGGCUAGAACUAUUUUAAAUGAAGCCAACAUUGAAAAAUACUUUUGGGUCGAAGCUAUCAGCACAACUUGUUAUGUUUCAAAUUGUGCAUCCAUUAGAAAAAAUUUAAACAAAACUCCAUAUGAACUAUGGAAGGGCCGAAAAACAAAUAUUCCCUAUUUUCAUAUAUUUGGAUGUUAUUGCUACAUUCUAAAUAACAAAGAAAAAUUGGGAAAAUUUGACCUAAAAUCUGAUAAAGGUAUUUUUCUAGGAUACUCCACAACGUCAAAAAGUUAUAGAAUAUAUAAUCUUAGGACUCAAACUGUGGAGGAAUCCAUGCAUGUUAUUUUUGAUGAGUUUGAUGACUUGUGUUUAGAAAAUAUAGAUAAAUAUGAAGAAGAUGAACAUUCAUCCUCUCAAGUACACAGUCCAAACGAGGAGGAUGAUUCUGAUCCAGCCUCUCAACAACCUCCAAGAGGAUGGAAAAUAGUAACGCAUCAUCCUCCUAAUCUGAUCUUUGGAAAUAUUAUCGAUGGUGUUAGGACCAGAAAUUCUCUAAAAGAAAAUACUAACAUGGUCGUGAUAUCACAAGUUGAACCCAAACCAAUUGAUCAAGCAAUUUGUGACAAGUCAUGGGUUGAAGCCAUGAUGGAGGAUCUAUCACAGUUUGAAAGAAGCAAUGUGUGGAAUCUUGUGCCCCCAUCCUCUGGAACAAAUUGAAUGAGGAUGGAGAGGUAAUUAGAAAUAAAGCAAGAUUUGUGGCACAAGGUUACAACCGACAGGAGGGAAUUGAUUAUGAUGAAAUAAUGCACCAUUGCUCUAUCAACUACAGAGGUUGAAUAUGUAUCAGCAACACAGUGCUGCUCACAAUUACUAUGGAUGAAGAACCAACUAGAGGAUUACUCUCUAAGGUACGCAAAAAUUCUCAUCCUCUGUGAUAAUACAAGUGCUAUUAAUCUUUCAAAAAAACCCUAUACAACAUUCUAGAUCUAAGCAUAUUGAAAUCAAGUAUCAUUUUAUUAGAGAUCAUGUUCAAAAAAUGGACAUAAAAUUAAUUUUGAUUGAAAUUGAAAAUUAGUUGGCUGAUAUUUUUACCAAACUUCUCCAGGAGAAUUGGUUCAAAAAUAUAUAUGAGGAACUCUCCAUCAUUAAUUUAUCCAAAGUUAUUUAAAUAAAAUUUUAUUCAUGAAUAAUUUUUUAUUUAUUUAAGUUUUCUUCUGGGGAUCAUAUCUUAAAAUUGAGAAAUAUCCUCCUCUAUAGGAUGAGCAAAAUCUGAUGAUGUUUGGUCAACUUGAAUAUCAUUGUUUUAAUUUUAAUUUUAGUUUAUGCUUAUUGGUCAAAUUAUUCCUUAUGCAAUAUCAAAUCUGAUCUUUUAAAUAAAGCCUAAGAAUCAGAGGAUAGGUAAACCAACAAAAAAUACAAUGUCAUUUUUGGUGAAACUUCCUCUUGCCACGUCAGACAAAGCAUGCGCAUGCCUUACGUUUCCCAUUAGUCCGCCUUGUGGCAUGGCUCUCAUAUGAGUCCCAUCUCGCAUUUAAUGUGCAGACUGCAAUAAAUGACAUUUAUCACGUUUCCCAUAACCUACCAUAGCUAUCCUCUUUAUUAACUCCUAAUAAUUAUUCCCUCGAUUUUUCAACGGCUACAAAAAUCCUUCAAAUUCUUUGAUCAAAUCACUCCAAAACUCUGAUUAUUUAUCCUCCUCUUGGAGUGGAUAAGCAACCAUCUUAUAAACCCCAGGAAGUCAUCCUCAUGUCUUGCCACAUCAACCUCUUCAACCAGUCCUCCUCGUCCUUCAACCUCGUCCUCCUCUGAUGACUUUUUCUCCGUCCAAAUCGGUGCUUGGAUCUUUCCAAUUUUUUUUUUUAUGGUUGACAAAUUUAGGGGGAGAUAGAUUAUGAUCAUCCUGUUAUCAACUUUUUGUUUAAGAGGAUACUUUUUGAAAUCUUUUUUUCAACCCUCUUGUUUAUGCUAGUUAAUAUGUAUGUCUUUUGAACCACCAUUUUUAAAUAUCAGCCUCAUUAAUAUGAAGUCUCUUUAUGGUUCAAAUUCAUGUUUCAAAACUUUGGCAUAUGUUCACGGGGAGUAAUUUUUUUAAAAAUUUAAAAAAGUUACUCUUAUGAUUUAGGGGGAGCAUAAACAUUUUAUCUCAUAAAUUUUUUAUAUUUAAAAUCAUAAUCUAAAUAAUUUUGUCAUCAUCAAAAAGGGGGAGAUUGUUGAGACAAAAUCUCUCUCAAAUGGUUUUAAUGAUAACAAAAUUAUUUAAAAGAUUAUGAUUGUGGUUAAUGACUAAUAUGUGCUUUUGAGUGAAUUCAUAUAAGAAAACAGGUUAUUAAUCAUUAAGACAAAAAAGAGAAAAAUCUGAUUCAAAUCUGGAGAAUUGGAAUUCAAGAGGAUGAAGCUUCAAAACUGCAAAAUAUUGAUCCUCACCGAAACACAUUCUUUUAUUCAUUAAAGUAAAGGCAAAACAAUAUUAAAGAAUGAAUAAAUAAAGCUUUUGAAGUAAAGAAGUCAGAUGGAAAAAGAAUAGGUACGAGGACGGAUUAUACUAGGAUGGGUCUAUGGUCAAUAUCUUGGAAAGCAACCCAACACUGUUGAAAGCAACCCAUCAUAUCAUGUGCAAAGGCAAAAAAAGCCUACCUAUAUAUCAUUCUUGUAUGAUUGAAAAAAAUAUAGAGUCAAUCUUCAGAAAGGCAACAACAAACAAGCCAAAAAUAGAAGCCUUCACAUGUCUUGAAGAAAGGAAAUUUGACCCACGUGCUUAAGGAUGGUUCUCUAUUGUCAACAUCACUCUCAAAAGUUGAAAAUGACCUAGCACUUAAAAGUUCAGAAUGGUUGUAGCCCACAGUCAAAGAUAUAGCCUUACAUAUCUUGAAGAAUGAGAAAAGAAAAGGACAACUCAAGGCCAAGUUCCAAGGAGGGUGAUCCUCUUGCUCGAGGAUGGACUAAGUCUGUCCAAGGACAGUUGGAUGGCAGUUCUGUCAUUCUUUACAUUUUCUCUUUCUUUUAAUCUACACAAAUUUAAAAGGCUUAAAUAACCAUAAUCGAGUUCGCAUCCUCUCAAAGAUGAUAGCUUUUAAAAAACAGGUGAAAAAUAUUUUUAAACAACAAAAUCCCUAUUCAACCCCUCUUUUAGUGAUAUUUAGCUACAUCAAAUCCAUCUAGUGCUAUUAGAAUGCGCAACGACGAACCACGUAGAAUUGUGCAUAUGAUGUUCUUUUACACACUGCAUUGCCACAACUUUUGUGGGAAAUUUCAUCCUCACUUGGAGAUUGUCAGGAUCUGGAACAAGGUAAGAUUGAUUUUUAGACAUAGAGUUGUCAAAUUCAUCGUCAACGUAAUUCAUGUUGUCAGAGGUUACGUUGCAAAAAUGUGAGGGUGGUCAAAGAAAUAAAUUGUAGUAUAUGGACAUUGUACUACGGGUUCCUAAUCAUCAUCGUCAUUGACAACAACUUCAACAAGAAUGUCAUCCUCAUUCUCACUAAAAUCGCCAACUUCUUCAUUGUGGACACCAACCUCAACAAUGAUAGGACCAUCAUCGUACGGUGCAUUAAGAUCAAUCCUCCAUUGAUUGGUUGGUUCUGAUUUUGUAUUUGUAUUUUAAUUAUAAUAUUUAAUAAAAUUUUAUUAUUUUUAUGAACUCUAUUUUAUUUAAAUUUUUUAAUAAUUAUAAAAAAUAAAAUCUAAUUAGAUGAUUAUUAUAAAAAAAAUUAACAUUGGAUUUAUUUAUUUAACUAAAAUAAUAUUGGUAGUAUGAUGCAUAAUUAGAAAAUAAUGAUAGUAAUAUAGUACAUAAUUAGAAAAUGAUAUUUAAUUUUAUUUUUAGUGGUAGAAUAAAAAAAAACCAAAAAAAGAGACGAUUGUAAUACGCUUUAACUAGAAAAAAAAGAGACGAUUGUAAUAACACCGCCUUAAUCCGCGAAUAACUAUCUAUAUUUAUAUUGAUCAGUUCUGUUCUCAAUCAACACAAGAACAACGUUGUUGUUUACGCACUAACGAUCGGAACGAAAGCUCUCACUUUCACACUCGAUCUCGCUCUCUUCUUCUUUGUCAACCUCUACUUUACAAUCUCUCGUUCUCCCUCUCCCUCUCACUUUUCUCAUUGUUACUUUUUUUUGUUUUACUCUUUUUUGGUUUGUUUGUGUGGCUAUUCUGUGGUUCUUUGAUUCUUUUUUUAGGUUUUUCCUAUCCGUGAUGGAUUCCCCGCCAGGUACUCCGAUUUCAUCACUCUCUCAUACGGUGGCCACUCCGUCACUUCCGUCGGCACCGAAAAAGAAACCCCAACAGUCUAUGGCAAGGUUUAUUCUGCACUCUUUAGAAGAUGUUAGCGAAAUGGUUCAGGAAAUUAUUCUAAGGCGUGAGUACAGCCAAGAAGCAUUGAAUGUCGAGAGAGAAAGAAAAAUGCGCAUUUUGAUGUCACUGCGAUAGUCAUUCAUUGCUUGCGUGAGUAUGAUUCUUGUGUUGGUUGGUAACUUGGUAUGAUUCUCUGUUCCUUUAUUCCUUUCAAUUUAUAUUUGGUAAGAAUCUAAGUUUAUAGAUUUAUAUACGUUUUUAUGCCAAAAUAUAAAAUAUGCCUUCGAUCUUGAUUUUUAUGCUAAAGAAACUACCUAUUUUAUAUUAUGAAUCUAUGAUGAAUGAUGAUACUUCUAUAGACUGAUAUGUGUUAGGUAACAAUUUAUGUGUUUCAAUUGUUUAUGAUUCUCAUUCUAAAAUCUAUAAUAAAUCUCCUAAAGUUAGUCCUCUUUAUCUUUUUACCUUAAUAUUGUUUAUGUUCUGUCAAUGCUCCUCUUGUAACUAUUCGAAUAUUUGAGCACUCACUACCAACAUGUUCUAAUACCCUCUCAUUCACUAUCUUAGGUAUGUUCUUUUCUUUGCCAAAACUAUUUUGAAUCUAUUACUAACUUGAUCAUUGGAGUCUUUGCAGGUACCACACCCAUUGCUCAUGAGCAGGAACAAUUUUGGCAACAACAGUUGGUCAAUCUAAUCUACUUCAUAUUUGGACAAUCAGUCUAGAAAUGAACAUGUAAGUAGUAUCAUAAUUACUGCAUCUCUUGAAUGUAGAAAAAGGUGAGAAAUUUCUGUGAUUCAAUUGUUUAAUACUCUCAUUCUAGAACCUAUCAAUCUCUUAAAAUUAGUCCGCUUUUUCUUUUAUCUUGAUAUUGUUUAUGUUAUGUCAUGGCCCCUUCUUGUAACAAUUUAUCUCUGCAUAAUGGAUCACACAUUUGAUUGCUUUUAUCUGUUGUCGGUCGCUUGUCCUUGUCCUUCUCAACCUCCAAGUGUCGUUCGUCUGCUUGAGGUUGAAAUCGGCCUACAUUCAAGAGAUGUAAGCAUACACGCAGUAUAUUCCACCACGAGCCUUUCUAGAUCAUUACUCCAAAUCCUAAGAUUGAGUAUUUCUUUUUAACACUUGUUAGGAUUAGGCAAUAGUAUAUAAUUGAAACCAAGAGAUCUCUGUUCAACACAUGUCCAAUGCUUCCUCUGCUUACAUCAAGUGACCAUUUUACUUCCUCUGGUUCACAAUAUAUCUGGAUUGAUGUGCAACUUUGAAGUUCUAGGAUGUCAGAUUAUUUCCUUUCUUUGUAGUGUUACAAUAUUGUUUCAUUUGGCCUAUUGUUUUUAUCUUGACCUUAAUUUGUAUAAACUUCAGCUUCCAUGACAUUGUUAUGUUUAUUUUCCAUCCUGGGUUGUUAAUCUACUCUUAAUAAUUAAAAUAAAUAUGUUAACAUCUUAUAUGCAUAUGUUUGGUUUUACUUUUGGAGCAUGUAAAAUUGAUUUAAAUUGAUCUUGACAAGUUUGGUUGUUAUUGAGUAGAAUUGAUUGUCUCCUCUAGAGUUGAUUUUUAGCUUUGGAUUUAUUACUCAACUCACUUUGACAAGCAACAUAAAUUGUUUUAACGUCAACUCACGUUUAAUAAAUAUCAAUUUUAUAUAAUUAAUAGUUAUAUUUUUUUUUACAGAAGAAUAGUAACAAUUUUUAUUGUCAAGUAGUUUUAAUCGUUAUUUUAGCACUUGAAAGUAUAAGAGGCUCAAAAUUGAAUCCUUCUUUUUUUUUUUUUUAUUGUUUUCACUUAUGUUGAUGAUCUUGUUAUUGUUGGAACUUGUCUACUUGAUAUACAAAGUAUUAAAAUAAAAAUAAAUAUAUUUAAUGAUCAAACUUUAUAUAUAUUUAUUUGUAGGAAAAUAAAUUUAAUUCACACUAGAAUAAAAAUAAUAUAAUCAAAUUUAAUGAUUAAUAAAACAAAAAGUACAUUAAUAAUAUACAUAAAAAUUAUAGAAAUUAAUGAAAAAUCACCUAAUCAAAAUCUUAAUCUUAACAAUCAAACUAUAGUCUUCUACCGGUCAAUGGCUAAGAAUAAUGUGAUAUGUACGAUCUUUAAUGUCAUCCAUCUUCGAAAAAAAGAAAUAUUUGUUGAUGUUCGUUCAUAUCGAUUAUAGGUGAUAUUUGAUAUGACGAAUUCAACUACGUAUUAACAAGUCAUUUAUAAAGUUGAGAUAGUGUUGAAUUUGGUGUAAGCCUCCAUAAGUCUGUUUUCUAAAAUAUGGUAUCGACAAAACGAUUACUAGAUAAAAAGUUGGAACGUGUUUACUUGAUAUACAAAGUAUUAAAACAAUUACUAGAUAAAAAGUUCAACAUUGAAGAUUUUAAAACAUUAAAAUAUCUUUUGGAUUUUGAGGUGCUUACCCAAAGGAAAUAUACCCUUGACUUACUUGAAUAUCAGGGUUGUUGGCUCCUAAACCAACUUCCAAAUCCAUGAAUUUGGUUUAAAGCAUUGUUUAAAUUUUUGACAGCCCUUAUCUGAUCCAAUUAAUUUUUGAAUCUAAAAAUUUUAGUAUAUAUAUAUUGACAAUAAAAUAAAUUUAAUUCACCCUAGAAUAAAAAUGACAUACAUAAAAAUUGUAGAAAUUAAUGAAAAAUCACAUAAUCAAAAUCGGAAUCUUAACAAUCAAACUAUAGUCUUCUACCAGUCAAUGGCUAAGAAUAAUGUGAUAUGUACGAUCUUUAAUGUCAUCCAUCUUUGAAAAAAAAAAAAUAUUUGUUGAUGUUCGUUCAUAUCGUUUAUAGGUAAUAUCUGACAUGAGGAAUUCAACUAUAUAUUGACAAGUCAUUUGUAAGAUUGAUUCCUCUCUUCUCCUUUUUCUAUUCAUCUUUAUGCUGCAUUAAGGAUUCUAUAUUAUUUGAACGUAAACUAGAAAGAUUUUUCACAACAACAUCCAUCAUUUUGUUCCAACUCUCCAAUUGCCCUAUUACUAGGGUAAUUUUUCUGGUUUUUGUGUUGUAGUAUUUAAUUGGGACGACGUGUUUAAGGCAAAUUGUAAUGGUGAGAUUAAUUGGGAUUGGAUAGCGGGUCUUAUUGUUUUUGGUUGUAUGUAAGUUGUCUGGUAAAAAGAUGGUAAUGCUAAUGGGGCUAAUGGAGUAAACAUGUUUUGGUUUGGUGGAGGAAGAAGAGAGAGUUUGUAAUACAUGUUUCAUAGUGGGUGUUUUUGUAUUUUUUUUUUCACUAAUUGGGGAUUCAUACUUAUCUUUAUGACUCAUUGUGCUUUCCCUGUAAAAAUUCUCUUGUAAGAAAAUUUGGUAAUGAGUUUUUCUCUCCUUUAAUAUGUUCUAUUUGGAAAUCAAAACAAGAAAGUAAAGAUUGCCAUCUAGGAAAACUAUGUUUAGAAACCAGGUUUUUAACUUCCUUUUGCAAAACAUCUUUUGCUGCUUUAUAAUCAGUUUUUAAUAAAAAUUUCUUCGAAACAGUACUAUAUUUUAGUUGAGUUGUUUUCCAUAUUCCAGAGUAAUAUCUCACUAUUUGCUCUUUUGGGUUUCCUGGUAAUUUUUGUUUUAACACUCCACCAUAACCUAACUCUGAUGAGUCAGUCUCUACUACUAAUAGGGCUUGAGGGUCUAGAAUUCCUAAACAAGGUAAUUUUUUAAUUAUUUGUUUUAAGGUUUUGACACUAUCGGCCGUAGUCUCAUCCAAUUUGGGUGGAUUUUUUCUUAGUCUUUUAAAUAAAGGUGAACAUAUAAUCCUAAGGUUGGGAAUAAAGUCUGCUACAUAAUUUACACAUCCUAAGAAUCUUUGCAAUUGAGUUUUGUCUUUUAAUUCAUUAUGAAAUUUUUCUCCAAAUUCUAUUGACCUACUAAUUUGUGUUAUUGUUCCUUGAUAAAUGUUGAAUCAUAAAAAUCUAAUAUUAUCUUGAAAUAAUUUUAUUUUCUUGGCUGACACCACUAAUCCUUUUUCUUUAAUAAUAUUAAAGAAUUUUUUCUAGAUGUUCAAAGCGUUAAUUAAUACUUUUUGAAAAUACUAAUACGUCAUCUAAGUAUACAAUAGUAAAAUGUUGUAAUUAUUUAAAAUGUCAUUCAUAAUAUUUUGGAAUUCACUGGGUGCAUUCUUUAAUCCGAAGGGCAUAACAUUCCAUUCGUAAUGUCCAAAGGGUACUACAAAGGCUUUUUUAUAAUUUUCCUCUUCUUUUAUUUGUAUUUGGUAAUAUCCUGAUUUCAUGUCAAAUUUAGAUAAUACAUAUGAACUGUGUAAUCUACUUACUAAAUCGUUUUUAUUGGGUAUUGGAUAUCUAAUCCGUUGUAAUACUUUAUUUAAUGGUUUAUAAUUUAUAACUAAUCUGGGGGCUCCUCUUUCUAAUUUUGUUGAGUUCAUUACAUAGAACCCUACACAACUCCAGGGAGACUUACCAGGUCUUAUUAAUCCUUUAUCUAAGUAUUCUUGUGUUUCCUUUUUACAAUAAUCUAGGUAUUGUUGAUUCAUUUGUAUUGGUCUUGCCUUAGUGGGAAUGUUUUGAAGUAACAAUGUCGAUUUACAAGAAAGGGGGGUUUGAAUUGUAAAUAUGCCUUUUAAAAAUUCCUGUUAAAACUUAAGAAAAUAACUCAAGAAUGAUCUUGGUUAUAAAACAGAAAACGAAGAACGUUCUUGGUUUAUGUUAUAAAACAGAGAACGUUCCUAAAUUAGCAGAAAAUCAGUUUCUAUUUUAUCUUAAAUGAUUAAUGCAGUAUAAUAAAGAAAAAGAAAGGAGAGAGAAUACCACACAAAGAUUUAUCCUGGUUCACUCAACGUGGUUUACGUCCAGUCCUCACACUGUGAGAUUUUCCAUUAAGUGUUUAAAAUGAAGAACCUUCUUAAUCUUACAACACCUAGAAUAGAUCAACCUUGAUCUAUUUCUUUCUUAAUUACUUUCCACCCAGAAAGCAAUCACAACACCUAUCUAACCUUGAUAGGAAGCAAUCUUAAACAAACUAUAAAGAAACUCUUAUAGUUUGAGUUUUACAAAUGAUUGAAAUUUGACAGAAUCUGAUAUUGCUCAACUCUUGUUUGAGAAUAGAUUCUUUACAGAGUAUCUAAUGACAAUUUCGCAACUGAUAUAUGAAUGAGCAGCAGUGGCUGUUUCGCGAAUUUGCAGAAAGUAAUGUUUCCUCUGUUUUGCAGAAUUUCAAGUUUAAGUGUGAUUGUAUAAUGUUGAUUACUUGGCACUUGAAUUUCUUGCUGAGAACUGAGAUAAUGGCCUUCUAUUUAUAGGCUGGAGAUGUACGAAAUAGCUAUUGGAGAGGUCAUGCUUUUUUGACUAAAACAUUAUUUUAGAAUAAAAAUAAUACUUCUUUGAAAAAGCUUUUUGACUUUUAAUGGUUUAGCAUUGAAAGCAUUUAUGUCCUUUCUUUGACGUUUCUUCAUUGAUCUUGGAUGGUACAUUAUCUGUCUCGAGUCUUGAGUGUAGCUAGAGAAGGUUGGAGAAGAUUUGAAGCGAAUUGCAGACUGAAACAGAGAGGAUGCAAGGCUGUUGUUGAUGUGCAGAAAACGGAGAAUGAUUAACGUUCUUGGUUUUAUCAGUUUGAACGUUCUUGAGCUUCAAUAAUCAUUCUGGAGUUCCCGUUUUAAAUGUUCUGUAUUUCCUUUGUUCUUGUCUUGUCAUAUACCCAGUUUGAUCAAGUUUUCUUGACAUUUGAAUUUUGGAAUUCUUAGGUCGUCAUGACUUUUGUCCAUCUUUGAACCCUUUGAUCUUUGUGAUCAANNNNNNNNNNNNNNNNNNNNNNNNNNNNNNNNNNNNNNNNNNNNNNNNNNNNNNNNNNNNNNNNNNNNNNNNNNNNNNNNNNNNNNNNNNNNNNNNNNNNNNNNNNNNNNNNNNNNNNNNNNNNNNNNNNNNNNNNNNNNNNNNNNNNNNNNNNNNNNNNNNNNNNNNNNNNNNNNNNNNNNNNNNNNNNNNNNNNNNNNNNNNNNNNNNNNNNNNNNNNNNNNNNNNNNNNNNNNNNNNNNNNNNNNNNNNNNNNNNNNNNNNNNNNNNNNNNNNNNNNNNNNNNNNNNNNNNNNNNNNNNNNNNNNNNNNNNNNNNNNNNNNNNNNNNNNNNNNNNNNNNNNNNNNNNNNNNNNNNNNNNNNNNNNNNNNNNNNNNNNNNNNNNNNNNNNNNNNNNNNNNNNNNNNNNNNNNNNNNNNNNNNNNNNNNNNNNNNNNNNNNNNNNNNNNNNNNNNNNNNNNNNNNNNNNNNNNNNNNNNNNNNNNNNNNNNNNNNNNNNNNNNNNNNNNNNNNNNNNNNNNNNNNNNNNNNNNNNNNNNNNNNNNNNNNNNNNNNNNNNNNNNNNNNNNNNNNNNNNNNNNNNNNNNNNNNNNNNNNNNNNNNNNNNNNNNNNNNNNNNNNNNNNNNNNNNNNNNNNNNNNNNNNNNNNNNNNNNNNNNNNNNNNNNNNNNNNNNNNNNNNNNNNNNNNNNNNNNNNNNNNNNNNNNNNNNNNNNNNNNNNNNNNNNNNNNNNNNNNNNNNNNNNNNNNNNNNNNNNNNNNNNNNNNNNNNNNNNNNNNNNNNNNNNNNNNNNNNNNNNNNNNNNNNNNNNNNNNNNNNNNNNNNNNNNNNNNNNNNNNNNNNNNNNNNNNNNNNNNNNNNNNNNNNNNNNNNNNNNNNNNNNNNNNNNNNNNNNNNNNNNNNNNNNNNNNNNNNNNNNNNNNNNNNNNNNNNNNNNNNNNNNNNNNNNNNNNNNNNNNNNNNNNNNNNNNNNNNNNNNNNNNNNNNNNNNNNNNNNNNNNNNNNNNNNNNNNNNNNNNNNNNNNNNNNNNNNNNNNNNNNNNNNNNNNNNNNNNNNNNNNNNNNNNNNNNNNNNNNNNNNNNNNNNNNNNNNNNNNNNNNNNNNNNNNNNNNNNNNNNNNNNNNNNNNNNNNNNNNNNNNNNNNNNNNNNNNNNNNNNNNNNNNNNNNNNNNNNNNNNNNNNNNNNNNNNNNNNNNNNNNNNNNNNNNNNNNNNNNNNNNNNNNNNNNNNNNNNNNNNNNNNNNNNNNNNNNNNNNUGUUGCGCAUAUGAGAUAAAUUUUUGGUGGAAAACUUGGAAAUUUUGAUCAAAGAUUUUUCAGAUGCAAGAGAUACUCCAAAAUGCCUGAAGAUUUUAGUCAGGACCAUGCCAUAAGGCACAAUAUUCUUUUUGUAAUCUUUCUGGGCUGCACAGAUCAUGUGCUGGAGAAUAACAUGAGGUAAGUUCAAUCUCUUGCAGUUUAACAGAUGAUAGAUGAGCAAGGCGUCAUUAUCAGAAACGUACUCAUGACUUCCAUAGUGUGGAAGUAGAGUAUGUUGACACAUAUUGUUGAAGACUUUAGGAAGAGGUUUUAAGUAAGUGGCUAAAUAACGUGUGGAGUUUUCUUCAAACAGCUCGGCCAAAACAUCUGUCUUUCUAAGACCCAGAGCUGAAUACCAGUUGUCACCAAAGACAGAUGGCCCUUCUGUUGGAAGCUGAAGGAUGUUGGCCAAAAUGUCUGGAGUCAAUCUGAUUUCCACUCCCUUUAUUUUUGAGAUAAAAAGAGAUUUGUCAGCAAAGGUUUUGGCAUUGCAGUAGAAAGCACGAACGACUUCUGGGAAAAAGGAUUCAGAGAUCUUUAAGAAUGAAGUCCAUCCAAGAGCAUCCGUAUGGUGCUGAACAGCAUUGCCAUCCACAACAAGAUUAUCAAAAACAAAGAUUCUUCAUAUCCCAACUGGGCGUUGAACCCAUUUUUCAUUGAAGAGUUUUGAUUUUGCAAGGGAGAUUAGAGGAGGAGCAUUCUGUUUUGGUUUCUUAGUUGGGGGAGAUGGUUCAGAUUCAGAGGAUGUGGAUAUAGGGGAAGAUCGUUUGGAAUUCUUUUGUGGAGAAGAUUUUGGUGGAGGGGCAGUCGGAGAACGUUCUUGUGGUGGGGAACGUUCUUGUGGAGGAGCAGUCGGAGAACGUUCUUGUUCUGGAGAGAUGGGUUUCUGACUGGUUUUUAGGUUUUGUUUUGGGGCAAGCGUUUUCUUUCUUUGAGGAUUUGGGAGAUUUUUUCGAGCAAGAAAUUGAGCAAUAGUGAUUGUGUUUUUGGUUCUCAUGGGUUUAGUUGGUGGUUUUGGUUGAGAGAGUGGUUCUUUUUGGUUUGGAGAAGGGGAAACAAUGUCAUUUAUCGAUCUCCGUUUUUGAUGGGGAGGAGUUGCGUGUGAAGGUUCAGAAGAGAAAGCCGAUUUUGAGGGUGUCGAAGGGUUAGUAGUUGAUGGUGGAUUUUGUGGUGGAGGUGUUGGUACUAUAGGCAUCGUGUUUCUUUGUGGUUCAGUUUGUGUUGGUGAUUUUUCUAUUGGGGGACACGAAUCAGAACAGUCAUCACUCUCAAAGUCUGAAAUGAUGAAGUAAAAUGGCUUAGGGUUCAUGGAUUUCGACGUACCAAUACCAGACUGGACGCGCAUGGAGCGGCGUGGAGGAGUGAUUCUGGUGCGAAGAUGGGGAGGCACUUGAGCGUAGUUUGGUAUAGGACAAGUGUAUAGUGGUGGAAGAAAGGUAGACAGAGGAAUGAGGUUUAGAACUUCUUGACUAUUUUGAGAAGAUGGAGAGGCAGAAGAUGUGUGUGGUGGUGAAGGGCGAGGUGGUGGAGAGGGAGAACGCUCUCUGGAUUGGUAUGAGGAAGAUGAAGAGGGUGGUGUACAGGGAGAGGCAUUUUCUCGUGCAGACUGUUUGGUUCGAGCCAUUUUUGUUUUUCUGGGAGGAAGAUGAUGAAGAAGAUGAACAGUGAACGUGAUUUAGAGAAAGAGAGAGAUGAUUCCAGCUUUUGGGGAAAAGAAGGUGGGAAGAGAAACAGUUUUCUGACUUGAGAAGAUGGAGAGAAAAAGGUGGAGUAAUGAUGAGUUUGUACCUAGGGAAAUGGGAAAAGCAUUUUGGGGGAUUGGAGAGUGUAUGUGUCAGCAUUCUAACGCCAAACACAAGGGCACGUGCAAUAAAUGCCAAGAUUUGCCUUUUUUACUUUUGAGAGGGAAAAGCAGACUGUUGCUUUUUCCAGAACGGAGAAUGAUGAAUCGCAAAACGGAGACUGAUAAACGAUCUCUGUUUUCUGCAGAAGCAGAUUUUAACCAGAAUUUUCUGGAUUUUUCAUGAUUCUCAGUUUUUCUUUGAUUGAAUUAAAACUAUCCUCCACAAGAGGCUUAGUGAAAAUGUCAGCAAGUUGAUUUUGAGUAUCAACGAAGAUUAAUUCAACGUCUUUCUUAUUGACAUGAUCACGAACGAAAUGAUGUUUUAUUUCAAUAUGCUUUGAUCUAGAAUGCUGAAUAGGAUUUUUAGACAGAUUUAUAGCACUUGUAUUAUCACAAUAAAUUGGAAUAUUGGAAUAGCUUACAGAGUAAUCUUGAAGUUGGUUCUUGAUCCACAAAACUUGUGAACAGCAGUUUGCAGCUGACACAUAUUCAGCCUCAGUUGUGGAUAGUGCUAUGGUGUUCUGUUUUCUGCAUGACCAACUGAUUAAUGCUUCACCUAGGAACUGACAUGCUCCACUUGUGCUUUUUCUUUCAACUUUGUCUCCAGCAUAAUCAGCAUCACAGUAUGCUAUAAUAUCAAAAUGGGAACCUUUUCUAUACCAAAGACCAAGAUUAGUUGUUCCAACGAGAUAUCUAAAUAUGCGUUUAACAGCAGUUAAGUGGGAUUCUUUUGGCGCUGAUUGAAAUCGAGCACAUAAUCCUACUGCAAACACAAUAUCUGGUCUGCUAGCAGUUAGAUAUAGCAGAGAACCGAUCAUUCCACGAUAUUCUUUUUCAGAGACAGAUUUGCCAUUUUCAUCUUUUUCUAAGGAAGUGGAUGGAUGCAUGGGAGUUGUCAUAAUUUUUGACUCAUUCAUUUUAUAUUUGAUCAACAGAUCUUUGAUAUAUUUUUCUUGACAAACAAAAAUGCCUUUUUCGUAUUGUUUGAUUUGUAAACCAAGAAAAUAUCUUAAUUCCCCCAUCAUGCUCAUUUCAAAUUCACUUUGCAUAAGUUUUGAGAAAUCUUCACAUAGUUUUUCAUUUGUUGAUCCAAAAAUGAUAUCAUCCACAUAUACUUGAACAAUGAGUAAUUCAUUUCCUUCAGUUUUCUUGAAUAAAGUAGUAUCGAUUUUUCCUCUUUGAAAAUUGUUCUCGAUCAGAAAUGAACUCAGUCUUUCGUACCAUGCCCUUGGUGCUUGUUUUAAGCCAUAAAGAGCUUUGGUAAGUUUGAAAACAUGAUUUGGUUUUGCUUGGUUUUCAAAACCUGGGGGCUGUUUUACAUACACUUGUUCAUUUAAAAAACCAUUUAAGAAAGCACUUUUCACAUCCAUUUGAAACAGUUUGAUGAGUUUAUGAGAUGCAUAUGCAAGAAGUAUUCGAAUAGCUUCUAACCUUGCAACUGGAGCAAAAGUUUCAUCAUAGUCUAUACCUUCUUGUUGAUUGUAGCCUUGAGCUACUAAUCUUGCUUUGUUUCUCACGACCUUACCUUCUUCAUCAAGCUUGUUUCUGAAUACCCAUCGAGUGCCAAUAACAGUUUGAUCUAAAGGAUCUGGUACUAGAGUCCAAACUUCAUUUUUCUCAAACUGUAGAAGUUCUUCCUUCAUGGCGUUAAUCCAAGAUUGAUCAGUAAUAGCAUCUUUGAUUGACUUUGGUUCAAUCUGAGAUAUCAUUGCCAUGCUGUCGUCAUCAUUUUUGAAUGAUCUUCUGGUUCGGAUUCCAUCAGCUGUGUCUCCAAUGAUCUGAGUUUGAGGAUGAUCUCCAAUGGUUUUCCAGCUUUUUGGUGGAGAAUGAAACGGAGAUUGUUUAUCAAUCUCUGUUUUCUGCAGACUUGUUUCCUGCUGUGUUUCAUUUUGAGUUUCUUCUUCCUCAUCCUUUUUACUUAUAUCUAGAUCAUCAAACUCAUCAAACAAUAUAUGCAUACUAAUUUCAACAACAUUAGUUCUUAAAUUGAACACUCUAUAACCUUUAGAUUCGGUUGAGUAUCCAAGAAAGAUCGCUUUAUCGGAUUUUGCAUCAAAUUUUCCAAUAGGAUCUUUGUUGUUUAGUAUGUAACAGUAACAACCAAAAAUAUGAAAGUAAGAAAUGUUUGGUUUUCUGUUUUUCCAGAUUUCGUACGGAGUUUUGUUGAUGAUUUUUCUGAUAGAUACACGAUUCAAGAUAUAGCAAGAAGUGUUUAUGGCUUCUGCCCAAAAAUAACUUUCAACAUUUGAUUCUUCUAAAAUAGUUCUUGCCAUUUCUUGUAGUGUUCUAUUCUUUCUUUCAACAACUCCAUUUUGUUGUGGAGUUCUUGCACAUGAAAGAUUGUGAGAUAUACCAAGUUCAUCAAAAAAGCUUUUGAAUGAGGCAUUUAUGAAUUCUCCUCCAUGAUCACUCCUUACAGAGAUGAUGCUGGAGUCCUUUUCAUUCUGCACCUUUUUACAAAAUGUUUUAAAUGAUUCAAAUGCAUCAUCUUUUUGUUUUAAAAACAGAACCCAUGUAAAUCUUGAGAAAUCAUCAACAAUAACAAAACCAUAUUUCAUUCCUCCUAGACUUGUUGUUUUGACAGGCCCGAAUAAAUCUAUGUGAAGUAGUUCAAGAGUUCUUUUUGUUGUUACAAAAUCUUUUGUAUGAAAGCUGCUCUUGACUUGCUUACCUUUUGCACAAGCUUCACAGAUUUUGUCUUUCUCAAAAUUAAGUUUUGGUAAACCUCUAACAAGAUCAAGUUUGGAGAUUUUUGAAAUAGUUUUCAUGCUGAUAUGUCCAGCCCUUUUAUGCCAGAUCCAUUUAUCUUUAUUGAUUGAUAUAAAGCAUGAUUCAUCAGGUAAUUCAUCCAAAUAUAUCACAUAUAAAUUUUUCUUUCGCUUACCAGAGAACAUAAUUUUUCCAGUUCUGGCCAACUUGAUUUCACAUACCUUUGGCUUGAAAGUGACUUCGCAUCCAUUGUCGCAUAACUGACUUAUGCUUAAUAAAUUGUGUUUCAAUCCUUCCACGUAUUGGACAUCAUUUAUUUGAGCAGAGUUUGUCUUACCAAUUGUUCCAUUUCCCUUAAUUUGAGCUUGAUCAUCAUUUCCAAAUGUGACCGAACCACCAUCCUUCUUGCUGAAGGUUAUGAAACAAUUUCUAUCUCCUGUCAUGUGCCUUGAACAGCCACUGUCCAAGAACCAAGGCUUUCUCUUUGUAUUUUGAAAACCAACCUGCAGGUGAUAUCAUUCCAGUUUUAGGUACCCACUUUGUUUUGGGUCCUUGAGAGUUAGUUUUUAAGUGGUAUAUCAUUCUUGUUUUGGAAACAGCUGUGUUGUUUGUUGAUUUUGAAAUGGGUUUAGCAAUAUAUGAUUUAGGAGAGUUGAACUUUGGUUUAACAGAUGUUUUGAAACGUUCAACUUGUAACCUUGAACUUUCUCUGUUUGGGGAACAAACUGGAGAACAUUCUCCGUUUUGCUGUUUUUCUGAAACAAUCUUGACAGGAUGAUUCUCAUGUUUAAAAAGCUUCUUCUUUUCGAUUUUUUCAUCCCUUUUCCUGAAGUAGCAUGCAAACUCUAGAUGUCCAAGUUUUCUACAGUAUGAGCAUCUAGUCUUGCAUUUUUCUUCCUUUCUUUCUGGGACAAAGAAGUUUUCAUAAAGUUUGGUUUUUUGAGUUUGAUUGAAACCAAGACCAGCUUUAUCAAAAAUUCCUAUUUGAGAUCCCAUGAUGUUAUGAAAAGUUUCAGUGGCUUUAAUGAAGUUCAGUAAAUCAGUUUUGAGAAGUUCGUUUUCAUUUUUAAGUUGAACGUUCUCCGUUUGUAGCGCAGAAUGUUCUUGACAUUCUUCACUUUCAAAAACUCUUGUUUCUUUCAAUUCUUGAAUCAUCUUUUUUAACAAAUUAUUUUCAGUUUGAUUUCUUUCCUUCUCUUCUUUCUCUUUAUAAAACUGUUCUUUCAGAGAACUACAUUUUUGAAUAAGGAGAUUUGAGUCAUUUAGCAAGUUAUCAAAUUCAUUUCCCAUUUGUUGACAUAAAUGACAUGGUUCAGAAUUCAUUACCUCAUCUUCCUCUGUUUUUGCCAUCAAGCAUAUGUUGGCUUCUUCUUCCUCUUCUUCUGUUUCUGAUUCCUCUGAAUCAUCCCAUGUUGCCAUCAUUGAUUUCUUUUUGAAGGGAAAUCGUUUUGGUGGAUUUUUGUUUGAUGGACAUUCUGCCUUGUAAUGUCCCAAUUUGUUGCAUCCAAAGCAUGUGACUUGACUCUUGUCAAUCUCUGUUUUAGGAUUUCUGUUUUGAAAUCCCUUUUUGAUUUGAUCUCUUCUUCUCAUCAUUCUUUGAAUUCUUCUAGUGAGAAGCGCGAUUUCAUCAGCAUCUCCUUGUUCAUUCUCUUCUGAUUCCUCUUCAACUGGAACUGUGAUUUUUUCUUGAGAGACUUUCAGUGCUAUUGCCUUUCCUUUCUUGACUGGUUUGUCUUCUUGCAAUACUAUCUCAUGAGCUCUUAGAGUUCCAAUUAGUUCUUCCAGAGGCAGUGACUCAAGGUUCUUGGCUUGGCUUAUAGCUGUCACCAUUGGUCUCCAAAUGAUUGGGAGACACCUCAUGAUUUUUCUUACUCUUUCUUGCACAGUAUAGGCUUUGCCAAGAGAACGCAUUUCAUUUACUAUUGUGGUGAAUCUUGAGUACAUUUCAUCAAUGGUUUCUCCUUCUUGCAUUUCGAACAAUUCGAAUUUCCUUAUACCAAUGUCUAUCCUUGUUUCUUUGACAUGGCUUGUUCCUUCAUGGUGAGUUUGCAAUGUAUCCCAGACUUCUUUUGCAGUUGUGCAUUCAUCUACCCUUUCACUUUCUUCCCUGCUUAAAGCACAUGAUAAGAAUAAUUGAGCUUUAGAAUUUAGAAGUACCUUAGCUUUAUCUUCUGCUGUCCAAUCUGCUUCCUUUUUUAGAGCAGAAUUCAAGUCAUCUUGAUCGACCCUUGGUGUGAAAUCUCCAUCUGUGAUGAUGCGCCACAUUCCUGUGUCUUGAGAUUUUAAGAACAACUGCAUUUUGUUUUUCCAAAAAUAAUAGUCUGAUCCAUCAAAGAAUGGAGGUCGAUUUGAGGAUCCUCCUUCAACAAUGUAUUUUGCUUUCGACAUUCUUCUAGAUCUUUUCUCUAACACUUGUUAGGUGUUUUUGAACUUUUUAGAGACCGAGCUCUGAUGCCAAUUGAAGUAACAAUGUCGAUUUACAAGAAAGGGGGGUUUGAAUUGUAAAUAUGCCUUUUAAAAAUUCCUGUUAAAACUUAAGAAAAUAACUCAAGAAUGAUCUUGGUUAUGAAACAGAAAACGGAGAACGUUCGUGGUUUAUGUUAUAAAACAUAGAACGUUCCUAAAUUAGAAGAAAAUCAGUUUCUAUUUUAUCUUAAAUGAUUAAUGCAGUAUAAUAAAAAAAGAGAAAGGAAAAAGAAUACAACACAAAGAUUUAUCCUGGUUCACCCAACGUGGGUUACGUCAAGUCCUCACACUGUGAGAUUUUCCACUAAGUGUUUAAAAUGAAGAACCUUCUUAAUCUUACAACACCUAGAAUAGAUCAACCUUGAUCUAUUUCUUUCUUAAUUACUUUCCACCCAGAAAGCAAUCACAACACCUAUCUAACCUUGAUAGGAAGCAAUCUUAAACAAACUAUAAAGAAACUCUUAUAGUUUGAGUUUUUACAAAUGAUUGAAUUUGACAGAAUCUGAUAUUGCUCAACUCUUGUUUGAGAAUAGAUUCUUUACAGAGUAUCUAAUGACAAUUUCGCAACUGAUAUGUGAAUGUGCAGCAGUGGCUGUUUCGCGAAUUGCAGAAAAUGAUGUUGCCUCUGUUUUGCAGAAUUUCAAGCUUAAGUGUGAUUGUAUAUUGUUGAUUACUUAGCACUUGAAUUUCUUACUGAGAACUGAGAUAAUGGCCUUCUAUUUAUAGGCUGGGGAUGUACUGGAUAAGUACGAAAUAGCUGUUGGAGAUGCCAUGCUUUUUUGACUAAAACAUUAUUUUAGAAUAAAAAUAAUACUUCUUUGAAAAAGCUUUUUGACUUUUAAUGGUUUAGCAUUGAAAGCAUUUUUAUCCUUUCUUUGACGUUUCUUCAUUGAUCUUGGAUGGUACAUUAUCUGUCUUGAGUGUAGCUAGAGAAGGUUGGAGAAGAUUUGAAGCGAAUUGCAGAACAGAGAGGAUGCAAGGCUGCUGUUGCUGUGCAGAAAACGGAGAAUGAUUAACGUUCUUGGUUUUAUCAGUUUGAACUUUCUUGAGCUUCAAUAAUCAUUCUGGAGUUCCCGUUUUGAAUGUUUUGUAUUUCCUUUGUUCUUGUCUUGUCAUAUACCCAGUUUGAUCAAGUUUUCUUGACAUUUGAAUUUUGGAGUUCUUAAGCCGUCAUGACUUUUGUCCAUCUUUGAACCCUUUGAUCUUUGUGAUCAACUAGCCUUUUUGAGCUUGGAUGAAUCCUACUUGUUCCUUUCCAUGUACUGAUUAGAUAUGAACACAUUUCCAGGACAGAUUCUUUGUUAACGAUGUAGAUAAACUUUGAACAACAUGUUGUGAUAGAUAAUUCGGUGAAGCUGAAGAUCAUUCUCUGUUUAUGAUGCAGAAUGAUCUUGUUGUUGUCUUUUCUUGUAUUUGCUUGAUUCUGCUCUUAAUUAAAACCACUCAAGAAUACAAGUUAAAUUAACAUAACAUUUAGAAUCAUAAUUAACAUACUUAAUUAACCUUUGUUUAUUUUCAUCAAAACUUUUAAAAUAGAGAGUUUGUCUCAACAUGUUUCACUCAUUAGAACUGGGUUCAUAAGGAAGUGAGACCACAUGCUUCUUUCUUGUCCAGAAAGCAUUGGGGUGAUCUGCACAAAUUUCUUUUUCAAAUUUAUCUUGUAUAAUUUUAUUUUGUAAUUGUUCUUCUAUUCUUUUAUAAUGAAUCUCUUUGUUUAUCAUUCCUAUUUGUUUCUUCUUUUGAGAGAUUAAAUUAAUUUUAUUAUGCUUGAUGUCGAUGCUUCCUGUAACAUUUAAUUAUUUAAUUUUGGGUUUUUGAACAACUUCAAAUUUUAUUGUUUUUCCUAAUGCUUUUUUAGUAAGACCUUCAUGUGAUACAGUGAAUGGGUAUAUUAAUGCUAAGAAAGGGUUUUCUAUAAUUACACUUUCUCUAAUGUCUUUUACUAAUAAAUUGAAGUAUGAUAACAAAUUCCAUUUUUACAUACCUUUGCAUCAAGUAAUUUAUAAGUAACACCUAAUCUAGAACCAUUGGCUCCACUUAAUCUUUCUAGGGUUUUUUUGUGAUAUUUAGUGGGUAUUAAUCCUUCUUGGAUACAAUUAGAGUCUGCACCAGAAUCAAAUAAUGCAAUAAACUCAAAUUUUUUAUUUUUAAUAAUUAUAGUUAUUGGACAGUACCAUUUGUGUACAAUUAAUUUAUUUAACAAAAAUAAAUAAGGUUUUUUUUUCUUUUAUAUCAUUAUUAUUACUACUACUUUCUAACUUAUGUUGUUGUUCUGAUAUACUUUUUCCUUUUAAUUCUAAAUACUUAACAUCUAAUUCUAAAUCCUUUUGUUUUAAUAAUUGAAUUUAUUGUUUUUAUAGAAGUAAUUUCAUUCUGCAAGUCUUUAAUAGUAAUUGGUGGGGUAAUAGUGGGUUUAAAUCAAUUCAUUAUUUAUUUAAUUCUACUUUAUGAACUAUUUCAUUUUCUAUUUGUUCUUUUUCUAUUAUUCCUUGUAUCUAAAUCAUAAAUUCUUCCUUUUGAUUUGAAUCAGGCAAUUUUCUUAAUACUUCUAUAAGAUUACUAACUUGAUAUGUAGUAAUCAUAUUAAUUCCCUUAGUACAAUCAUUACAGUUACAUAAUUCUGGACCUAAACAAUAAUUUUCUUCUGAACUUUCUCCUAAUUCUGAUUUUUCUGAUAUAUUAUUAAAAUAUUCUUCUUCAUAAGAUGAUUCUUCCGAAGAACUAGAGGAUUCAUCAAUCAACAUAAUUCCUUUUAAGAUAUUAAUAAGACUUCUUUUAAUUCUUUUUGUAUUUCUAAUUUACAGAUUUCAUUAAUUUUUUGUUUUACUCUACAAUUUUUUGCAUAAUGUUCUAGUCUUCCACAUUUAAAACAUUUAAUUUAUUGUUUAUUAAAGACUUUUUUAUUAGUUCUUUUAACUUUUUGUGUUUUCUUUAUUGGUUCUUUUGGGGUGUAAUUAUUAUUAUAAUUUUUCUUUUUUUUAUAAUGUCUAAAUGUUUGUUUUGGAUAUCUUUUAUUUAUGUUUUUACCAGGAGCUUUAAUCAUCUCUAUUCCGAAUUGUUCACAAAAUGAUCUUAAUUCUUUUCUACUUUGUACUACUCCUCAUCUAAUUUUAUUCUGUAUUUUAAAAUCUGUGCAUAUUCCUAUUUCGAUUUCUACUACGUAAUUCGAUAUUUGUCUUAAGGUUAAUGUUCCAUAAGGAAUUAUUCCAUUAAAUUUUGAUUUAAUAUUCAUUUUAACUUUUUUACUAAAUAAUUUAGGUAAUCCUGCUAAAAAUCUCUUUUUCCAAUAAUCUACAUUUCCACCUGGUCUCAUAUAUAAUUUUGACAUAAACAUGUCUUUAUCCCAUCUAUAAUCAGACAUCGAAGGGCAAUGAAGAGUAACUAUUAAUGAGACAUCGAAGGGCAAUGAAGAGUCUCAAAUUGUAAGUCUGGAUAGCUAUGUCUAGGGUAAUAAUUUCUAGUUUUACCUUGAUAACCAAUAUUUUUCAUAUUUUUAAUUUUGUUAAUUUCUAACUCAUUGGGGUCUUGUGAUAAUACAUUGACUUGAGAAUUAUUUGUGAUUGUCAACCUUUUUAAUUCAUCAGAGUUAUUUUUUAAUUUUGCUUCUUUUAAUUCUUUUUCAGGUCCAUUUAUUAAUUUAUAAAUAGGGCUUUUUGGAUCUAGUUUGUAAUCCUUAUAUGAAUUUAUUUUACUAUGCAUACUGGGGUGGUUUUUACUCACUUGUAAUUCUACUCUAUCUAAUUGUUCAACCAUAGUAUAUAAUAUUUGAUUACUAAAGCUUAAUUGAGUUUGGACUCUUCCUAUUUCUUUAUUUUCAUGAUUUGGAUGCUUAAUUGUUUUAAAGGGUGAAGCUUCGAAUAUAAUUCCAUUCUUUUUUAUUUUUAUUGUUUCUAAUGGAGGAUGUAUAGAUGCUAUUAUUUUAUCAUCUACAAUCUUCCAUUUAUUACUUAUUUUAGUAUUAACAUUUAUGUGAUUAUUUCUAAUAAAAGGGUUUUUUAUAUUAUUUUCUAAACAGUAAUUUUCAAACCAGUUAAAGAAAUAAAUAUUUAAUCUUAUUUCUUUAAGAUACACAUAAUAUUUUUCUCUAUAAUCACUUGUUAUUUCUUUUGAGAAAGUAUCAAAAUACCAUUUUCUUUUAUCUGUAUUAUAAUCUACUUCGAAAUCUUCUGUUAACCAGCCUUUGUCUAUUUCAAAUUCUUCUUCUAAUUCAUUUACUCCUGUUGAAGUUGUGGGAAUUUAGAGAAAAUGAGGAGAGAAAAUAAUAAGGGCUUGAAUAUUAUUGAUAAUAGCUUAAUGCUGACUUGAUUACAAAAGACUCAAUAUUAAUCUCUAUUUAUAGAGAAACAUAGACUCAAUCCUAAAUCAAGAAUAAAUCAUAAUAAUGAGAGAUAUUCUAAGAUUCUCUAUGAUUAUAAGUUGAUCAUAGAAAAUAGCUCAAGAUACUCUAAUAUAAUAUAAAAGAUAUUGUAAGAUAUUUUCUAAUAUUCUAACACUCUCCCUCAAGCUAAAGCUUACUAAGCUUUAACUUGCUACAAGAUAACAAUGUUUUGCUCCGCAAAAUAAUAAUAAAAAGAUGGAAAGGAAACUCCAGGAUGCAGGUGAAGUCGAAGAGAAUUGCUAUAAAUACAGCCUAACCAGAUAGCUGGAAUGAUCUAUAACAUGAGAGCAAUUCAUGGCAAGCAGUUGAACAACACAACGUCCGUCCUUCUAAAAAACUGCAUUUGGAAGCUUCAAACCAAUAAUAUCAGAGACUCAAAAUAUUUAAACUUGAAUUUUUUUCAAGGAGAGAGAGGCAUGCUUCAAGUAGAGAAAGGCAAGGUCAGUACAUCUGGGACAAAGAUGGGGUCAGUGUAUCUAGGACAAAUUGCCAAGUUGUAUGCAUGUGGUUCGAAAGAAAAAAAAAACUUAAAACAGAUCUGAAACUAGGUAGGAAAACUCAAUCUAGACGAAUGAAACAUUAUGCCUGAAAGCGGACAGGCGCGCUUAAGCUCGUGUGGAGCAACUUUUGACCUAAAAGAAAAUCUGAGUUGGGUAGAUUGGGAGAUUUCGCACACAAUGGAAGUGGUUGUGUCGGAAAACGUUUCCAGCAGCGACGACAUGCAGCAACGGUAGAUGGCAGCAGUAGGAGACGGGAUAGCAGCAACGACAGGAAACACACGGCGGCGGCAACAGAUCUACUCGCAAGAAAAUUUACCAAAAUUAGUGGCAGCGGCGACUUUUAUACUAGUUCACCCAAUGAAGGCUACGUCCAGUCGUCGCACACUUGUGAUAUUUCACUAAUGAUCAAAUUGAUCAACCUCUAACAGAUGUUACUUACACUUUGUGUAUUCUAUAGCCUCACUAAGCUUACAAUCUUGUUUCUUACAAGUUCCAAACUAUUUCCAAGUGUAACUCACGUUGAAAUUAUAAAGAGAUAUGAAUAUGAUCGUUUCUCUUUUCUUAAAUACUUUCUAAAAAGAUAUUUCAAAGAUCUAGUGUAGGAUUAUAGAAAGUAUGAAGAGAUGAUGGAUAUUGCUCUUGAUAGCUUUAAGAUACUUGAUCUUUUUAUGCAAUGUUGUUGUAUCAUUAAUGAUGAAGGGCUUGCUGCCUUUUACAGAAGUCUUGUGAUGAUCCUUCCAUGUGCCAAGCUCUUUAUGACCGUUGGAAAGUUAAUUCAAAAAGUCCAAGGUCUUUCAUCAUAUUUACAGAACUGCCAUCCAACUGCCCUUGGACAGACUUAGUCCAUCCUCGAGCAGGAAGAUCACCCUCCUUGGAACUUGGCAUUGAGCUGUCCUUUUCUUUUCUCAUUCUUCAAGACAUGUAAGGCUAUAUCUUUGACUGUGGGCUACAACCAUUCUGAACUUUGAAGUGCUAUGUCAUUUUCAACUUUUGAGAGUGAUGUUGACAAUAGAGAACCAUCCUUAAGCAUGUGGGUCAGAUUUCCUUUCUUCAAGACAUGUGAAGGCUUCUAUUUUUGGCUUGUUUGUUGUUGCCUUUCUGAAGAUUGACUCUAUAUUGUUUUCAAUCAUACAAGAAUGAUAUAUAGGUAUGCUUUUAGCCUUUGCACAUGAUAUGAUGGGUUGCUUUCAACAGUGUUGGGUUGCUUUCCAAGACAAUGACCAUAAACCCAUUCCAGUAUAAUCCAUCAAUUAGUAGGUCAAUAGAAUUUGGAGAAAAAUUUCCUAAUGAAUUAAGAGACAAAACUCAAUAAUAAUAAUAAUAAUAAUAAUAAUAAUAAUAAUAAUAUGUAAUAAUAAUAAUAAUAUGUAAUAAUAAUAUUAAUAAUAAUAUUAAUAAUAAUAAUAAUAAUAAUAAUAAUAAUAAUAAUAACAAGCUAAAUCCUAGUCGAAAAGGAUAUACUAAUGCAUUACUAAAAUGGUUAAACGAAUUUGUGUCAUUUGCAAUCCAACAACCAAACAUAUGAAAUAUAGAAAUUAGAUGUCGUUGUUCUGUUUGCAAAAAUAUUGAUUUCUUAGACUUUGAAGUUGUUAACAUUUAUAUUUUAAGGAAGUAGUUUAAACCUGACUAUUAGUAUUGGACAUCUCAUGGAGAAAGUGAUCCAGAGUUGCAUGUAGAAAUUAAAAGGAAAAAUAUGCACAAGAGCGACAUAACAAUCAUUUUAAUAAAUUUGAGAGCAUGGUUUAUGAUGUUAUUGGACCACAGUAUCAAAUGCAUUAUGAUGAAGAAUUAAAGGAUUCUUCAAAUAUAGAAUGAUCAAAAGUUUUAUGAUUUACUAAAUGCAGCUCAAAAGCCAUUGUGACCGGGAUGCAACGAUAACACUGAAGUGUCUUUUGUUGUUAGAUUGUUGGCAAUUAAAUUAGAGGAAAAUAUUUGUCAACAAUCUUUUAAUCAAAUAGUGACACUUAUGAAGGAGACAAAAUCUUUCAAAACUUGGUCUCACUGUGGAAAAAAUAGAUUGUUGUGUAAAUGGUUGUAUGUUAUUCUACACUAAUGAAUGUAAACAAUUAAAAGAAUGCAAGUUUUGUAAUGCACCUCGUUAUGAGAAAAAAAAAGAUUGGUAGGCAUGAAUUCAAAGAGGUACCUAUGAAAACAAUGCAAUAUUUACCGCUAAUUCCCAAACUUAAAAGAUUAAAUGCUUCGAUGAGCUCAGCUCCACAUAUGAGAUAACAUUAUGAAAAUAGACGAGAACCAGGAGUGAUGUGUCAUCCAUCAGGUGGAGAGACUUGGAAACACUUUGAUCAAAUUUAUCCUUACUUUGUUGUUGAACCGAGGAAUGUAUACCGAUGGUUUUACCCCAUUUAGUCAUACUACCUAACCUUAUUCAUGUUGACAGAUAAUUGUCACUCCUUACAAUCUUCCUCCAGAACUAUGCAUGACAACUCCCUACGUUUCUCGCUUCGAUUAUUCCUGGAUCACAUAAUCCAAAGAGCAAGAUAGAUGAGCUCAAAUAUUUAUGGAAUGAAAGAGUGCUUACUAAAUCGAUCGCUAUUAUAUUUAUUGAUCGCUAUUAUAUUUAUUGACCGCUAUUAUAUUAAUUGACCGAUUUUUUCCAUUUAAUAACCGAACAAUUGAUCUCUAAAAGCGCUUUUUCAAUAAUUCUAAUACAUCAUUUCUCCUUAAUAAUUAAGCUACCUUUAAUGUCACAUUUUGUUUCUUUAACAUUAUUAAAGAAAAUGGAUUAGUGAUGUCAUCCAAGAAAAUGAAAUUAUUUCAGGGUAAUAUUAGAUUUUUAGGAUUCAACAUUUAUCAAGGAACAAUAACACCAAUUAAUAGGUCAAUAUAAUUUUGAGAAAAAUUUCCUAAUGAAUUAAUAGAUAUAGGAGGAGGUCGUUAACAAAAUAAAAUUAAGUUGCUAGUAUAUGCAAAAUAGGAGUGACACCUUAUUUGUUUUGAUAUAUUUACUCAACCAUAUUAAUUUUGAGGUUUUUUUUUUCUAUUAAAUGUACUUUGAUUUUUUAAAAUAUUUUAUAAUCAUUUUUUACAAUGUUUUAUUUUUAUUAUUUAUAUUACUUUUUCAUUUAUUGGAUUGCAUUGGUCAGCGCUUAAGUGGAUUAUGAGGUACUUAAAUGGCUCACUGACAGCAGGUUUAAAAUUCAAAAAGAAUCAUCAUGACAAUUAACCAAUCAAAUGAUAUGUGGACUCGGAUUAUGCUGGAAACAUGGACACUAGAAAAUCAAUUUCAAGUUAUGUUUUCACUCUAUAUGGAAUUGUUGUAAGUUGGAGAGCAAUUACGCAGUCGGUGGUAGCACUUUCUACAACUCAAGUUGAAUUCAUUGCGCUUACUGAAGGUGUUAAAGAAGCUUUAUGGAUGAAAGGACUUAUUGGUGAACUAGGAAUAAAUCAGAGUUAACUCAGCUGAUGCAUUCACCAAAUCAUUUUCACAAGCUAAGUUCAAGCAUUGUUUGGACAUAGUUGGCUUCAAAAAAGAGUAAAGAUGAAGCAAUGGUAGCAAGAUCAAUGAUUGAACUAUUCUGAUAUUGAGUCAAGAUGGAGAAUUGUGAAUAUGUGUCUCAAAUCAUCUAACUAAAGUUAGUUAAGCUUUAGUGGUUUUUAUAACUACAUUUGGCAAGGUUAGUUAUGAUAGGUGUUUAUAGUUAAUUUGCUUGUGUAUACUAUAAGUAAAGUUGUAAUAUUGUAGCAGUUGUAAUGUUGUUGUUGUAGUAGUAAGAGCUGGAAACUAAGAGAGGCAUAUGCAACUCAUCAUAGAAUAUCAUAGAGAGAUGAUUAAAAUGAGAGAAAGAAAUAUUAAUAGAAAGGCUAGUAUUGAUGGUUCAUAAAUUGAGAAGGCUUUAAUCUUGUAGAGUUCAAUUAACAAUAGUGGAUUAAUCUUGCUUGCUUGCCUGUGAGACCGAACACGUAAAUUUUUUGUGUUAUUCUUUCCUUAUCCUUCUUUAAUUUUAAUGUGAAAACUGUUUCAGAACAUUCUCUAUUUUCAGCAGAAAAACCCAAAACGUUCUACGUUUUCUGGUUUUUUCAGUUCUGUCCAAAACGUUCUACGUUUUCUGGUUUUUUCAGUUCUGUCCAAAACGUUNNNNNNNNNNNNNNNNNNNNNNNNNNNNNNNNNNNNNNNNNNNNNNNNNNNNNNNNNNNNNNNNNNNNNNNNNNNNNNNNNNNNNNNNNNNNNNNNNNNNNNNNNNNNNNNNNNNNNNNNNNNNNNNNNNNNNNNNNNNNNNNNNNNNNNNNNNNNNNNNNNNNNNNNNNNNNNNNNNNNNNNNNNNNNNNNNNNNNNNNNNNNNNNNNNNNNNNNNNNNNNNNNNNNNNNNNNNNNNNNNNNNNNNNNNNNNNNNNNNNNNNNNNNNNNNNNNNNNNNNNNNNNNNNNNNNNNNNNNNNNNNNNNNNNNNNNNNNNNNNNNNNNNNNNNNNNNNNNNNNNNNNNNNNNNNNNNNNNNNNNNNNNNNNNNNNNNNNNNNNNNNNNNNNNNNNNNNNNNNNNNNNNNNNNNNNNNNNNNNNNNNNNNNNNNNNNNNNNNNNNNNNNNNNNNNNNNNNNNNNNNNNNNNNNNNNNNNNNNNNNNNNNNNNNNNNNNNNNNNNNNNNNNNNNNNNNNNNNNNNNNNNNNNNNNNNNNNNNNNNNNNNNNNNNNNNNNNNNNNNNNNNNNNNNNNNNNNNNNNNNNNNNNNNNNNNNNNNNNNNNNNNNNNNNNNNNNNNNNNNNNNNNNNNNNNNNNNNNNNNNNNNNNNNNNNNNNNNNNNNNNNNNNNNNNNNNNNNNNNNNNNNNNNNNNNNNNNNNNNNNNNNNNNNNNNNNNNNNNNNNNNNNNNNNNNNNNNNNNNNNNNNNNNNNNNNNNNNNNNNNNNNNNNNNNNNNNNNNNNNNNNNNNNNNNNNNNNNNNNNNNNNNNNNNNNNNNNNNNNNNNNNNNNNNNNNNNNNNNNNNNNNNNNNNNNNNNNNNNNNNNNNNNNNNNNNNNNNNNNNNNNNNNNNNNNNNNNNNNNNNNNNNNNNNNNNNNNNNNNNNNNNNNNNNNNNNNNNNNNNNNNNNNNNNNNNNNNNNNNNNNNNNNNNNNNNNNNNNNNNNNNNNNNNNNNNNNNNNNNNNNNNNNNNNNNNNNNNNNNNNNNNNNNNNNNNNNNNNNNNNNNNNNNNNNNNNNNNNNNNNNNNNNNNNNNNNNNNNNNNNNNNNNNNNNNNNNNNNNNNNNCAAAAAUAAAUCUAUGAUGAUUACUUGGGAUGACAGUGACGAGUCAUCCUCUGAGCAAAAGAAGGAAGAAGAGAUCAACCUCUGUCUCAUGGCAAAAUAAGAUACUGAAAAGGUAAUCAUCUCAGAACUAUGUCCUACGUGUGAAAAGUUAGAAAUUGAAUUUGACAAUCUUUUAAAUGACUCAAACACCUUAUCUCAUAAAUGUGGUUUUCUCAAAAAUCAAUUUUAUGAAAUAAAGAACCUCAAUGAGGAACUUCAAGCUAAGAAUGAGAAGUAUGAAAAAGUCAUUCUAGAUUUGCAGUUAUCUCAUGAGAAAUUAUCUGAGCAACAAACUUUUUUAUAUAAAAAGAAAGUCAAAAGUCAUCCUCCAGAAGAGGACACAGAAAAGGAAAUCUUGAAAGUAGAAGUUGAAGAACUAAAAAAUGACAUUAUCAACUUUGUUAAAUCUACUGAAACAUUUCAAAAGAUUAUGGGAUCUCAAUCUGGAAUCUUUGACAAAGCUGGUAUUGGAUUUAAAAGUUCUCAAAAACAAAAAUUAUACGAAAAUUUUUCCUGCCUAAAAAACAAGAGGAUAGGCCAAAAUGUACGUUUUGGAAAAAACUUGGACAUACUUUCAAAAACUGUCAUGCUAAGAAGAAAGCUGACAACAUAAAGAAAGUAUGUUCAUUUUGUGGUAAACACGAGCACCAUGAUCCUGUUUGUUAUCACAAAAGGAAAAUCCUCACAAGAGGAAAAACUAAUCAACAAGGACCCAAUGUUAUAUGGGUACCCAAGUUACUUUUAACCUCUAACACAGGUUCAUCCUCUGAUCAACAAAAGAAAGCCUUGGUACUUGGACAGUGGCAGCUCAAGGCAUAUGACAUGGAAUAAGCACUGCUUUAUUUCCUUGGAGAUAAAGGAUUGAGGAUCAGUCACGUUUGGUAACAAUGAUAAAGCUCAAAUAAAAGGUACAAGUAUUAUUGGUAAAAAUAAUUCUGCUAAAAUUGAAAAUGUUUAGUAUGUGGAUGGUUUAAAACAUAACUUGCUAAGUAUUAGUCAAUUAUGUGAUAGUGGAUUUGAAUUUAUUUUUAAGCCUACUCUAUGCGAGGUUAAACAUUCAUCAUCGGGUAGAGUUAUCUUUUCCGAUUUUGGAAAAAAUAGUUUAUAUGAACUAUAUCUGGAUGAUUUACCUACUAAAUCUUGUUUUGUAUCCAUUGAGAAAGAUAAAUGGAUUUGGCACAAACAAGCUGGUCACACAAGCUUAAAUACUAUUUCUAAAUUAGAAAAACUAGAAUUAGUGAAAGGUCUUCCAAAAAUUAAUUUUGAAAACGAGGAGGAUGAUUCUGAUCCAACCUCUCAGCAACCUCCAAGAGGAUGGAAAAUAGUAACACAUCAUCCUCCUGACCUGAUCAUUGGGAAUAUUGUCGAUGGUGUUAGGACCAGAAAUUCUCUAAAAGAAAAUACUAACAUGGCCAUGAUAUCACAAGUUCAACCCAAAACAAUUGAUCAAGAAAUUUGUGACAAGUCAUGGGUUGAAGCCAUGAUGGAGGAUCUAUCACAGUUUGAAAGAAACAAAGUGUGGAAUCUUAUGCCCCAUCCUCUGGAACAAAUUGAAUGAGGAUGGAGUGGUCAUUAGAAAUAAAACAAGAUUUGUGGCACAAGGUUACAACCAACAUGAGGGAAUUGAUUAUGAUGAAAUAAUGCACCAUUGCUCUAUCAACUACAAGGUUGAAUAUGUAUCAGCAGUACAGUGAUGCUCGCAAUUACUAUGGAUGAAGAACCAACUAGAGGAUUACUCUCUAAGGUACGCAAAAAUUCUCAUCCUCUGUGAUAAUACAAGUGCUAUUAAUCUUUCAAAAAACCCUAUACAACAUUCUAGAUCUAAGCAUAUUGAAAUCAAGUAUCAUUUUAUUAGAGAUCAUGUUCAAAAAGGGGACAUAAAAUUAAUUUUGAUUGAAAUUGAAAAUCAGUUGGCUGAUAUUUUUACCUAACCUCUUCAGGAGAAUCAGUUCAAAAAUAAACAUGAGGAACUCUCUAUCAUUAUCCAAAGUUAUUUAAAUAAAAUUUUAUUCAUGAAUAAUUUUUUAUUUAUUUAAAUUUUCUUCUGGGGAUCAUAUCUUAAAAUUGAGAAAUAUCCUCCUCUAUAGGAUGAGCAAAGUCUGAUGAUGUUUGGUCAACCUGAAUAUCAUUGUUUUAAUUUUAAUUUUAGUUUAUGCUUAUUGGUCAAAUUAUUCCUGAUGCAAUAUCAAAUAUGAUCUUUUAAAUAAAGCCUAAGAAUCAGAGGAUAUGUAAACCAACAGAAAAUACAAUUUCUUUUUUUGUGAAACAUCCUAAUGCCACGUCAGACAAGGCAUGCGCAUGCCUCACAUUUCCCAUUGGUCCGCCUUGUGGCACGGCUCUCAUUUCUCCCAUCUCGCAUUUAAUGUGCAGACUACAAUAAAUGACAUUUAUCACAUUUCCCAUAACCUACCCUAGCUAUCAUCAUUAUGUUUCCCAUCUCGCAUUUAAUUGUUGUUUCUCUCUCUCUCUCUCUCUCUCUCUCUCUCCUAUACAUCUUUUUCAAAUGAGCAUUAAAUGCAAAACGAAUACUUCUUUCUUGAAAUUACAAACCUUUAUUAAUUCCUAAUAACUAUUCCCUCUAUUUUUUAAUGGCUACAAAAUUCCUUCAAAUUCUUUGAUCAAAUCACUCAAAAACUCUGAUUAUUUAUCCUCCUCUUGGAGUGGAUAACCAACCAUCUUAUAAACCCCAGGAAGUCAUCCUCAUGUCUUGCCACAUCAACCUCUUCAACCAAUCCUCACUGUCCUUCAACCUCGUCCUCCUCUGAUGACUUUUUCUCCGUCCAAAAUAGGUGCUUGGAUCUUUCCAAUUUUUUUUUUAUGGUUGUCAAAUUUAGGGGGAAAGAGAUUAUGAUCAUCCUGUUAUCAACUUUUUGUUUAAGAGGAUACUUUUUGAAAUCUUUAUUUCAAUCCUCUUGUAUAUGCUAGUUAAUAUGUAUGUCUUUUGAACCAUCAUUUUGAAAUAUCAGCCUCAUUAAUAUGAAGUCUCUUUAUGGUUCAAAUUCAUGUUUCAAAACUUUGGCAUAUGUUCAAGGGGAGUAAUUUUUUUGAAAAAUUUAAAAAAGUUACUCUUAUGAUUUGGGGGGAGCAUAAACAUUUUAUCUCAUAAUUUUUUUUAUAUUUAAAAUCAUAAUCUAAAUAAUUUUGUCAUCAUAAAAAAGAGGGAGAUUGUUGAGACAAAAUCUCUCUCAAAUGGUUUUAAUGAUAACAAAAUUAUUUAAAAGAUUAUGAUUAUGGUUAAUGACUAAUCUGUGCUUUUGAGUGAAUUCAUAUCAUUAAGACAAAAAAGAGAAAAAUCUGAUUCAAAUCUGAUUCAAAUCUGGAGAAUUGGAAUUCGAGAGGAUGACCUCGUAAGAGGAUAAAGCUUCAAAUCUGCAAAAUAUUGAUCCUCACCAAAACAAAUUCUUUUAUUCAUUAAAGUAAAGACAAAAUAGUAUUAAAGAAUUAAUAAAUAAAGCUUUUGAAGUAAAGAAGUCAGAUGGCAAAAGAAUAGGUACGAGGAGGGAUUAUACUAGGAUGGGUCUAUGGUCAAUAUCUUGGAAAGCAACCCAACACUGUUGAAAGCAACCCAUUAUAUCAUAUGCAAAGGCUAAAAGCAGACCUAUAUAUCAUUCUUGUAUGAUUGAAAACAAUAUAGAGUCAAUCUUCAGAAAGGCAACAACAAACAAGCCAAAAAUAGAAGCCUUCACAUGUCUUGAAGAAAGGAAAUUUGACCCACGUGCUUAAGGAUGGUUCUCUAUUGUCAACAUCGCUCUCAAAAGUUGAAAAUGACCUAGCACUUCAAAGUUCAUAAUGGUUGUAGCCGACAGUCAAAGAUAUAAGACAGUCAAAGUUCAAGGCCAAGUUCCAAGGAGGGUGAUCUUCCUGCUCGGGGAUGGACUAAGUCUGUCCUAGGACAGUUGGAUGGCAGUUCUCUAAAUAUGAUGAAAGACUUUGGACUUUGUGAAUUAUUUUCCCAACGGUCAUAAAGAGCUUGGCACAUGGAAGGAUCAUCACAAGACUUAUGUAAAAGGCAACAAGCCCUUCAUCAUUAAUGAUACAACAACAUUGCAUAAAAAUAUCAGGUAUCUUAAAGCUAUCAAGAGCAAUAUCCAUCAUCUCUUCAUACUUUCUAUAAUCCUACACUAGAUCUUUGAAAUAUCUUUCUAGAAAGUAUUUAAGAAAAGAGAAACAAUCAUAUUCAUAUCUCUUUGUAAUUUCCACGUGAGUUACACUUGGAAAUAGUUUGGAACUUGUAAGAAACAAGAUUGUAAGCUUAGUGAGGCUAUAGAAUACACAAAGUGUAAGUAACAUCUGUUAGAGGUUGAUCAAUUUGAUAAUUAGUGAAAUAUCACAAGUGUGUGACGACUGGACGUAGCCUUCAUUGGGUGAACUAGUAUAAAAGUUGUGUGUGUCAUUCUUUACAUUUUCUCUUUCUUUUACUCUACACAAAUUUAAAAGGCUUAAAUAACCAUCAUCGAGUUCGCAUCCUCUCAGAGAUGAUAGCUUUUAAAAAACACGUGAAAAAUAUUUAAAACAACAAAAUCCCUAUUCAACCCCCCUUUUAGUGAUAUUUAGCUACAUCAAAUCCAUCUAAUGCUAUUAGAAUGCGCAAUGACGAACCACGUAGAAUUGUGCAUAUGAUGUUCUUUUACACACUGCAUUGCCACAACCUUUGUGGGAAAUUUCAUCCUCACUAGGAGAUUGUCAGGAUCUGGAACAAGGUAAGAUUGAUUUUUGGACAUAGAGUUGUCAAAUUCAACGUCAACGUAAUUCAUGUUAUCGGAGGUUACGUUGCAAAAAUGUGAGGGGGUCAAAGAAAUAAAUUGUAGUAUAUGGACAUUGUACUACGGGUUCCUAAUCAUCAUCAUCAUUGACAACAACUUCAACAAGAAUGUCAUCCUCAUUCUCACUAAAAUCGCUAACUUCUUCGUUGUGGACACCAACCACAACAAUGAUAGGACCAUCAUCGUACGGUGUAUUAAGAUCAAUCCUCCAUUGAUUGGUUGGUUCUGAUUUGUAUUUGUAUUUUAAUUAUCAUAUUUAAUUAAAUUUUAUUAUUUUUAUAAACUCUAUUUUAUUUAAAUUUUUUAUUAAUUAUAAAAAAUAAAAUUUAUUUAGAUGAUUAUUAUAAAAAAAAUUAACAUUAGAUUUAUUUAUUUAACUAAAAUAAUAUUGGUAGUAUGAUGCAUAAUGAGAAAAUAAUGAUAGUAUACAUAAUUAGAAAAUGAUAUUUAAUUUUAUUUUAGUGGUAGAAUAAAAAAAAAAACCAAAAAAAGAGACGAUUGUAAUACCACCGCCUUAAUCCGCGAAUAACUAUCUAUAUUUAUAUUGAUCAGUUCUAUUCUCAAUCAACACAAGAACAACGUUGUUGUUUACGCACUAACGAUCGGAACGAAAGCUCUCACUUUCUCACUCGAUCUCGCUCUCUUCUUCUUUGUCAAGCUCUACUUUACAAUCUCUCGUUCUCCCUCUCCAUCUCACUUUUCUCAUUGUUACUUUUUUUAGUUUUACUCUUUGGUUUGUCUGUGUGGCUAUUUUGUGGUUCUUUGAUUCUUUUUUUAGGUUUUUCUGUCCGUGAUGGAUUCCCCGCCAGGUACUCCGAUUUCAUCACUCUCUCAUACGGUGGCCACUCCGUCACUUCCGUCGGCACCGAAAAAGAAAUCCCAACAGUCUAUGGCAAGGUUUAUUCUGCACUCUUUAGAUGAUAUUACCGAAAUGGUUCAGGAAAUUAUUCUAGUUCUUUGAUUCUUUUUUUAGGUUUUUCCUAUCCGUGAUGGAUUCCCCGCCAGGUACUCCGGUUUCAUCACUCUCUCAUAACGGUGGCCACUCCGUCACUUCCGUCGGCACCGAAAAAGAAACCCCAACAGUCUAUGGCAAGGUUUAUUCAGCACUCUUUAGAUGAUAUUACCGAAAUGGUUCAGGAAAUUAUUCUAAGGCCUGAGUACAGCCAAGAAGCAUUGAAUGCUGAGAGAGAAAGAAAAAUGCGCAUUUUGAUGUCACUGCGAUAGUCAUUCAUUGCUUGCGUGAGUAUGAUUCUUGUGUUGGUUGGUAACUUGGUAUGAUUCUCUGUUCCUUUAUUCCUUUCAAUUUAUAUUUGGUAAGAAUCUAAGUUUAUAGAUUUAUAUACGUUUUUAUGCCAAAAUAUAAAAUAUGCCUUCGAUCUUGAUUUUUAUGCUAAAGAAAGUACCUAUUUUAUAUUAUGAAUCUAUGUUGAAUGAUGAUACUUCUAUAGACGGAUAUGUGUUAGGUAACAAUUUAUGUGUUUCAAUUGUUUAUGAUUCUCAUUCUAAAAUCUAUAAUAAGUCUCCUAAAGCUAGUCCUCUUUAUCUUUUUAUCUUAAUAUUGUUUAUGUUCUGUCAAUGCCACUCUUGUAACUAUUCGAAUAUUUGAGUACUCAGAACCAACAUGUUCUAAUACCCUCUCAUUCACUAUCUAAGGUAUGUUCUUUUCUUUGCCAAAACUAUUUUGAAUCUAUUACUAACUUGAUCGUUGGAGUCUUUGCAGGUACCACACCCAUUGCUCAUGAGCAGGAACAAUUUUGGCAACAACAAUUGGUCAAUCUAAUCUACUUCAUAUUUGGAUAAUCAUUCUAGAAAUGAACAUGUAAGUAGUAUCUUAAUUACUGCAUCUCUUCUAUGUGGAAAAAGGUGAGAAAUUUAUGUGAUUCAAUUGUUUAUGACUCUCAUUCUAGAAUUAAUCAAUCUCUUAAAGUUAGUCCUCUUUUUCUUUUAUAUUGAUAUUGUUUAUGUUCUGUCAUGCCCCCUUCUUGUAACAAUUUAUAUCUGCAUAAUGGAUCACACAUUUUAUUGCGCUGUCGGUGGCAUGUCCCUGUCCUUCUCAACCUCCAAGUGUCGUUUGUCUGCUCGAUGUUGAAAUCGGCCUACAUUCAAGAGAUGUAAGCAUACAUGCAGUAUAUUCCACCACAAGCCUUUCUAGAUCAUAACUCCAAAUUCUAUGAUUGAGUAUUUCUUUUCAACACUUGUUAGGAUAAGGCAAUAGUAUAUAAUUGAAACCAAGAGAUCUCUAUUCAACACAUGUCCAGUGCUUCCUCUACUUACAUCAAGUGGCCAUUUUACUUCCUCUGGUUCACAAUAUGUCUGGAUUGAUGUGCAACUUUGAAGUUCUAGGAUGUCGGAUUAUGUCCUUUCUUUGUAGUGUUACAAUAUUGUUUCAUUUGGCCUAUUGUUUUAAUCUUGACCUUAAUUUGUAUAAACUUCAGUUUCCAUGACAUUGUUAUGUUUAUUUUCCUUCUUGUGUUAAUAUACUCUUAAUAAUUAAAAUAAAUAUGUUAACAUGCCUAUGUUUGGUUUUUACUUUUGGAGCAUGUAAAAUUGAUUUGAAUUGAUCUUGACAUAUUUGGUUGUCAUUGAGUUGAAUUGAUUGUCUCCUUUAGAGUUGAUUUUUAGCUUUGGAUUUAUCAAUCAACUCACUUUUACAAGCAACAUAAAUUGUUUUAACUUCAAGUCACUUUUAAUUAAAAUCAAUUUUACAUAAUCAAUAGUUAUGUUUUUUUCGACGGAAAAAUAAUAGCAAUUUUUAUUGUGAAGUAGUUUUAAUCAUCAGUUUAGCACUUGAAAGUAUAAUCAUCAUGUAAAAUUGAUUUGAAUUGAUCUUGACAUAUUUGGUUGUCAUUGAGUUGAAUUGAUUGUCUCCUUUAGAGUUGAUUUUUAGCUUUGGAUUUAUCAAUCAACUCACUUUUACAAGCAACAUAAAUUGUUUUAACUUCAAGUCACUUUUAAUUAAAAUCAAUUUUACAUAAUCAAUAGUUAUGUUUUUUUUUACGGAAAAAUAAUAGCAAUUUUUAUUGUGAAGUAGUUUUAAUCAUCAUUUUAGCACUUGAAAGUAUAAUACAGUGUAAUUUUGAAUAUGUUAAAGUUUAAAACUGAAUACUCCUUUUUUUUUUAAACAAAAUAAGUGCUAUAUUUUUAUUGUUUUUAACUUAUGUUGAUGAUCUUGUUAUUCUUGGAACCUGUCUACUUGAUAUACAAAGUAUUAAAACAAUUACUAGAUAGAAAGAUCAAUAUUGAAGAUUUUGAAAUAUUUAAAUAUCAUUUGGAUUUUGAAGUGGAUAUUUUCUUACCCAAAGGAAAUAUACCCUUGACUUGACUUGAAGUUUAGGGUUGUUGGCUUCUUAACCAACUUCCACAUUCAUGAAUUUGGUUUUAAGCUUUGAUUAAAAUUUUGACAACCCUUAUGUGAUCCAAUUGGUUUUUGAAAACAAAUGGAUAGAUUGACAAGAAAAUAAAUUUAAUUCACACUAGAAUAAAAAUAAUAUAAUCAAAUUUACUGAUGAAUAAAACAAAAAGUAUAUUAAUAAUACACAUAAAAAUUGCAGAAAUUAAUGAAAAAUAAUCUAAUCAAAAUCUUCGCAAAAAAAAUUAUUUGUUGGUAUUUGUUUAUAUCGAUUAAAGGUGAUAUUUGACAUGACGAAUUCAACUACGUAUUGAUAAGUUAUUUAUAAGGUUGAGAUAGUGUUGAAUUUGGUGUUAGUCUCCAUAAAUUUGUUGUCUAAAAUAUAGUAUCGAUAAAACGAGUCAUUUGAUUUUAUAGACACCACACUAAAAUACAAAAACAAAAUAUAACAUACUAUGAUGACAAACAAAUCAAUGUUGCACUCAGAUGACUAAAUCGUAAAUAAAACACACAAAAAAGAAGUAAAUUUGUGUAGAAAAUCAAUUAUUUAAUUAAAAGCAUGGAAUAAAAUAAUUUAGAUAAUUAUUUUAGAUUAAAAAAAAAAGAAUAACCUUAAGUUACCCCUCUAAUAAACAAAGAGGAAGAGAAGCUGUGUUAUUUUUUUAGGAGGGGAAGUUAAAAAACAACUUUAGGCGGCUACUUGUAAAUUCCUCGACAUAUCUUAUGUUGUUUGUAUAAGUUAUACAUCGAUUCCUCUCUUCUCUUUUGCCACUCAUCUCUAGGUUGCAUUAAGGAUUCUAAAUUAUUUGAAGGUAAACUAGUGAAAGAUUUUUCACAACAACAUCCAUUAUUAUGUUCCAACUCUCUAGUUGUUUUGCGAUUCUUAGUGGAACUCAUAUAAGAUCUAGAAGAUAACAACAAACUUUUGUUUCUCUCUUGGCAACUCUUUAAUUCCAUGGAAAAUUAAGAAACAUUCAAUUGUUUCUCAUUCUUCAUCACAGACAGAAUAUAGAGCUUUAGAAUUCUAUUAUUUUAAUAUAUCGUUUGAUUGUUUAAAAACAAAGUCAUGUCCAUUAAUAGUUGUGAUGUGUCGACGGUGUAAAAAAAUUUACACUAACCGUGAUUAACAAUUAAACUCUUAAAUUUAUGGUACAAUAAAUAAAAUAGAUUAUUAUUAUUGUUGGUAUAUAAAUUAAUAUAAUUAUAAAAAAAUUACAUAAUUAAUAACUUUUUUGUUUUUACAGAAGAAUAAUAGAAAUAAAUUUUUAUUUAGUUUUAAUCAUCAACUUAGCACUUGAAAGUAUAAGACGCUCAUAACUGAAUACUCUUUUUUUAAAAAAAAAAAAAAAUAAGUACUUUUUUUUAUUAUUUUAACUUAUGAUGAUGAUCUUGUUAUUGUUGGAACGUGUGUACUUGAUAUACAAAGUACUAAAACAAUUACUAGAUAAAAAGUUCAACAUUGAAGAUUUUGAAACAUUAAAAUAUCUUUUGGAUUUUGAAGUGCUUACCCAAAGGAAAUAUACCUUCGACUUACUUGAAUAUCAGGGUUGUUGGCUCCUAAACCAACUUCCAAAUCCAUGAAUUUGGUUUAAAGCAUUGUUUAAAUUUUUUACAACCCUUAUCUGAUCCAAUUGAUUUUUGAACACAUAGAUACAUUGUUUUAUCUAAAAAUAUUAGUAUAUAUAUAUUGACAAUAAAUAAAUUUAAUUCACCCUAGAAUAAAAAUAACAUACAUAAAAAUUAUAGAAAUUAAUGAAAAAUCACAUAAUCAAAAUCGGAAUCUUAACAAUCAAACUAUAGUCUUCUACCAGUCAAUGGCUAAGAAUAAUGUGAUAUGUACGAUCUUUAAUGUCAUCCAUAUUCGAAAAAAAGAAAUAUUUGUUGAUGUUUGUUCAUAUCGUUUAUAGGUAAUAUCUGACAUGAAGAAUUCAACUAUAUAUUGACAAGUCAUUUGUAAGAUUGAUUCCUCUCUUCUCCUUUUUCUAUUCAUCUUUAGGCUGCCUUAAGGAUUCUAUAUUAUUUGAACGUAAACUAGAAAGAUUUUUCACAACAACAUCCAUCAUUUUGUUCCAACUCUGCAAUUGCCCUAUUACUAGGGUAAUUUUUAUAAUAGGGUAAUUUUUCUGGUUUUUAUGUUGUAGUAUUUAAUCGGGACGACGUGUUUAAGGCAAAUUGUAAUGGUGAGAUUAAUUGGGAUUGGAUAACGGGUCUUAUUGUUUUUGGUUGCAUGUAAGUUGUCUGGUAAAAAGAUGGUAAUGCUAAUGGGGCUAAUGGAGUAAACAUGUUUUGGUUUGGUGGAGGAAGAAGAGAGAGUUUGUAAUACAUGUUUCAUAGUGGGUGUUUUUGUAAUUUUUUUUCACUAAUUGGGGAUUCAUACUUAUCUUUAUGACUCAUUGUGCUUUCCCUGUAAAAAUUCUCUUGUAAGAAAAUUUGGUAAUGAGUUUUUCUCUCCUUUAAUAUGUUCUAUUUCGUAAUCAAAAUAAGAAAGUAAAGAUUGCCAUCUAGCAAAACUAUGUUUCGAAACCAGGUUUUUAACAUCCUUUUGCAAAACAUCUUUUUCUGCUUUAUAAUCAGUUUUUAAUAAAAAUUUCUUUGAAAAUAAGUCAUCUUGAAAUUUUGUAAUGCAUAAAACAAUUGCCAAAAUCUCUUUUUCAACAGUACUAUAUUUUAGUUGAGUUGGGUUCCAUAUUCCAGAGUAAUAUCUCACUAUUUGCUCUUUUGGGUUUCCUGGUAAUUUUUCUUUUAACACUCCACCAUAACCUAACUCUAAUGAGUCAGUCUCUACUACUAAUAGGGCUUGAGGGUCUAGAAUUCCUAAGCAAAGUAAUUUUUUAAUUAUUUGUUUUUAGGUUUUGACACUAUCGGCCAUAGUCUCAUCCAAUUUGGGUGGAUUUUUUCUUAGUCUUUUAAAUAAAGGUGAACAUAUAAUCCUAAGGUUGGGAAUAAAGUCUGCUACAUAAUUUACACUUCCUAAGAAUCUUUGUAAUUGAUUUUUGUCUUUUAAUUCAUUAUGAAAAUUUUCUCCAAAUUCUAUUGACCUACUAAUUUGUGUUAUUGUUCCUUGAUAAAUGUUGAAUCAUAAAAAUCUAAUAUUAUCCUGAAAUAAUUUAAUUUUCUUGGCUGACACCACUAAUCAUUUUUCUUUAAUAAUAUUAAAGAAUUUUUUCUAGAUGUUCAAAGUGUUGAUUAAUACUUUUUGAAAAUACUAAUACGUCAUCUAAGUAUACAAUAGUAAAAUGUUGUAAUUAUUAAAAAUGUCAUUCAUAAUAUUUUGGAAUUCACUGGGUGCAUUCUUUAAUCCGAAGGGCAUAACAUUCCAUUCGUAAUGUCCAAAGGGUACUACAAAGGCUUUUUUAUAAUUAUCCUCUUCUUUUAUUUGUAUUUGGUAAUAUCCUGAUUUCAUNNNNNNNNNNNNNNNNNNNNNNNNNNNNNNNNNNNNNNNNNNNNNNNNNNNNNNNNNNUUAUAAUACUUUAUUUAAUGGUUUAUAAUUUAUAACUAAUCUGGGGGCUCCUCUUUCUAAUUUUGUUGAGUUCAUUACAUAGAACCCUACACAACUCCAGGGAGAUUUACCAGGUCUUAUUAAUCCUUUAUCUAAGUAUUCUUGUAUUUCCUUUUUACAAUAAUCUAGGUAUUGUUGAUUCAUUUGUAUUGGUCUUGCCUAGGUGGGAAUGUUUCUCUCAUUAAAACUGGGUUCAUAAGGAAGUGAGACCACAUGCUUCUUUCUUGUCCAGAAAGCAUUGGGGGUGAUCUGCACAAAUUUCUUUUUCAAAUUUAUCUUGUAUAAUUUUAUUUUGUAAUUGUUCUUCUAUUCUUUUAUAAUGAAUCUCUUUGUUUAUCAUCCCUAUUUGUUUCUUCUUUUUAGAGAUUAAAUUAAUUUUAUUAUGACUUGAUGUCGAUGCUUCCUGUAACAUUUAAUUAUUUAAUUUUGGGUUUUUGAACAACUUCAAAUUUUAUUGUUUUUCCUAAUGCUUUUUUAGUAAGACCUUCAUGUGAUACAGUGAAUGGGUAUAUUAAUGCUAAGAAAGGGUUUUCUAUAAUUACACUUUCUCUAAUGUCUUUUACUAAUAAAUUGAAGUAUGAUAACAAAUUCCAUUUUUACAUACCUUUGCAUCAAGUAAUUUAUAAGUAACACCUAAUCUAGAACCAUUGGCUCCAAUUAAUCUUUCUAGGGUUUUUUCGUAAUAUUUAGUGGGUAUUAAUCCUUCUUGGAUACAAUUAGAGUUUGCACCAGAAUCAAAUAAUGCAUUAAACUCAAAUUUUUUAUUUUUAAUAAUUAUAGUUAUUGGACAGUACCAUUUGUGUACAAUUAAUUUAUUUAACAAAAAUAAAUAAGGUUCUUAUUCUUUUAUAUCAUUAUUAUUACUACUACUUUCUAACUUAAGUUGUUGUUCUAAUAUACUUUUUUCUUUUAAUUCUAAAUACUUAACAUCUAAUUCUAAAUCCUUUUGUUUUAAUAAUUGAAUUUCUUGAUUUUAUAGAAGUAAUUUCAUUCUGCAUGUCUUUAAUAGUAAUUGGUGGGGUAAUAGUGGGUUUAAAUCUAUUCAUUAUUUAUUUAAAUUCUACUUUAUGAACUAUUUCAUUUUCUAUUUGUUCUUUUUCUAUAAUUCCUUGUAUCUGAAUCAUAAAUUCUUCCUUUUGAUUUUAAUCAGGCAUUUUUCUUAAUACUUCUAUAAGAUUACUAGCUUGAUCUGUAGUAAUCAUAUUAAUUGCCUUAGUACAAUCAUUACAGUUACAUAAUUCUGGACCUAAACAAUAAUUUUCUUCUGAACUUUCUUCUGAUUAUGAUUUUUCUGAUAUAUUAUUAACAUAUUCUUCUUCAUAAGAUGAUUCUUCCGAAGAACUAGAGGAUUCAUCAAUCAACAUAAUUCCUUCUAAGAUAUUAAUAAGACUUUCUUUUAAUUCUUUUUGUAUUUCUAAUUUACAGAUUUCAUUAAUUUUUUGUUUUACUCUACAAUUUUUUGCUUAAAGUCCUAGUCUUCCACAUUUAAAACAUUUAAUUUCUUGUUUAUUAAAGACUUUUUUUAUUAGUUCUUUUAAUUUUUUGUGUUUCUUUAUAGGUUCUUUUGGGGUGUAAUUAUUAUUAUAAUUUUUCUUUUUUUAUAAUGUCUAAAUGUUUGUUUUGGAUAUCUUUUAUUUAUGUUUUUACUAGGAGCUUUAAUCGUCUCUAUUCCGAAUUGUUCACAAAAUAAUCUUAAUUCUUUUCUACUUUGUACUACUUCUGAUCUAAUUUUAUUCUGUAUUUUAAAAUCUGUGCAUAUUCCUAUUCCGAUUUCUACUACGUAAUUCGAUAUUUGUCCUAAGGUUAAUGUUCCAUAAGGAAUUAUUGUUGAUUAUUAUGACCUCGGAAUAAUCGGAAUGUAUCAGUUCUUUAAGAAAUUAAAUCAAUUUCAUACACACGGCGGAAUUAAAUUGCGGCAUACAAGAUUAGCAAUUACAAGGAGAUGGAUAAGAGAUUAACCAAGAUGCAUGCGAGUCAAAUUUCCAGUUUAAACAAUAUUACCUAACACAGAAUAUGUUUAACAUGCAUCUAAUAUUAAUCACACAUACAAAUAUUGCAAGAUAGAAAAUUAAAGGAGUUAAGGGUUAGAGAAGAUUGCACCAAGAAUUUAUCCUGGUUCGGUUGUCAACGAGACAACCUACAUCCAGUCCUGACAAUCCAAUCGGAUUUCAGAUUUUCUUCUCCAAUAGAAAGAAUCAAUUACAGAUUGUCCAGUUUCAUCCCCGAAACCUAUCUAUCUCUAAUGAUCUCUUUCCUAUUGAUUACCCUCUGAUCCUUGUAGACACUCAGCAGUCUAACACAGAAUCACAGUACGACUCCUUCUUGUUGAGACCUCUCACCCAAGAAGGUAGCCACUAGUUUCUAGCUGGCUUUCUAUCAACCCUUUGAUCCUUGUAGACACUCAGCAGUCUGACACAAAAUCAAAGUGCGACUCCUUCUUGUUGAGACCUCUCACCCAAGAAGGUAGCCACCAGUUUCUAGCUGGCUUUCUCGCUUUCGUUUCGUUUCAAAGUAUUGUUAUAGACAGAUUAAAAGAAGUACAAAAAGAAGUCUUCAAUCUUGAUCAAUGUGUCUUCUCACGAAUCUGGAUAUUCAAUGAUUGUUCAUGAGGACAUUGUCUUUUCUCUCAAGAAUACUUUUUCAGCUCUCUCAAUGAUUAUGGAUAAUCUUUUGAUCUUGAUCUGAAAGAGCAUUAUCAGAUUGUCAACAAAGUGUAUUGUGAUUUGUUAUUGAAGUUAUCUUGAGUUCUCAGAACUAUGAAAGUUAUGAUCAAGGUUCUUUUUGAAAAAGAUUGAAAAACAGUUUAUAUAGUUUCUGAAAAACAACUACUAAAUCGAUUUACCAAUCGAUUCAUUAANNNNNNNNNNNNNNNNNNNNNNNNNNNNNNNNNNNNNNNNNNNNNNNNNNNNNNNNNNNNNNNNNNNNNNNNNNNNNNNNNNNNNNNNNNNNNNNNNNNNNNNNNNNNNNNNNNNNNNNNNNNNNUCUUACCAGAUGUUUAGUUCAAUCGAUUUCCCAAUCGAUUGCAACCAAACUUAACUUGAUUGAAAUUCACACAAUAGAUUGUCUAAUCGAUUGUGUUUGUCACAGGUGAAGUUACUUUUGAAAUUUCAUUUUAAGCAAUCGAUUUGCCAAUCGAUUUCCUAAUGCCCUGUGACUUCCCAAUCGAUUUGCCAGUUGAUUAGUUUCAAUCAGUUUACAUUUUGUGAUAUGUACAAUCGAUUUGUCAAUCGAUUAACCUGUAAACCAGGUUGCCACUGACUUGUUCAAUUUUCAUUUCUAAUAUAGUCAGUCGAUUGCCCAAUCGAUUAUACAAUCACAAACAUUUACUUUUCCUUACACCCUUGUUAUGAAAUCAAUUUCCCAAUCGAUUUACUCAGUGAAUAAUCAACUUUUGUUGAUUUCUUGUGUUCCAAGCAAUUUGUUCCAAGUGUGUAGGAUUGAAUUGGUGUUCCUGAAAUCUUGCUCAAUUGAAAUGUUAGAUUUAUCAUAUGAUGUAUGAACAUUGUAUGUUUGUUAAUUAUGUCAAAAUUAGGAUUCAAAGGACUAAAGUCCAACAAUUAUUCCAUUAAAUUUUGAUUUAAUAUUCAUUUUAACUUUUUUACUAAAUAAUUUAGGUAAUCCUGCUAAAAAUCUCUCUUUCCAAUAAUCUACAUUUCCACCUGGUCUUAUAUAUAAUUUUGACAUAAACAUGUCUUUAUACCAUCUAUAAUAAGACAUGGAAGGGCAAUGAAGAGUAACUAAUUGUUCAACACCCCUUUCUUGUUAUUGUAAUGGGUCUCUUACAAACACUUUCGUGAUAGCAUAUAAUAGGGUAUUUACUGAGUCUUCUUCUAUUGGUAUUCCAUUAUUAUCUACUUUAAUUGUUGUUAAUAUCAUAGUUUUUUCUUAUUCAGUAACUAUAUUAUCCCACCAUCCUUUUAAUUGACCAGUGAGUCCAGUGAUUAAUAAUAACGCUGCCUUUUUAUCAGUAUUUUUCCCUGAUGUUUUAAAGGCGGUGGCUGCCAUAGUCAUGGCCUGAAUAAUAUUUAAUAUGUUUUGUUCACUAUGUCCAUCUAUGUUCCAUUCAAUAAUAGAAUCUCCACUAUAGGUUACGGAGGUCAUGUAGUAACUUUCUUCAAAUUGUAAGUCUGGAUAGCUAAGUCUAGGGUAAUAAUUUCUAGUUUUACCUUGAUAACCAAUAUUUUUCAUAUUUUUAAUUUUGUUAAUUUCUAACUCAUUGGGGUCUUGUGAUAAUACAUUGACUUGAGAAUUAUUUGUGAUUGUCAACCUUUUUAAUUCAUCAGAGUUAUUUUUUAAUUUUGCUUCUUUUAAUUCUUUUUCAGGUCCAUUUAUUAAUUUAUAAAUAGGGCUUUUUGGAUCUAGUUUGUAAUCCUUAUAUGAAUUUAUUUCACUAUGCGUACUGGGGUGGUUUUUACUCACUUGUAAUUCUACUCUAUCUAAUUGUUCAGCCAUAGUAUAUAAUAUUUGAUUACUAAAGUUUAAUUGAGUUUGGACUCUUCCUAUUUCUUUAUUUUCAUGAUUUGGAUGCUUAAUUGUUUUAAAGGGUGAAGCUUCAAAUAUAAUUCCAUUCUUUUCUAUUUUUAUUGUUUCUAAUGGAGGAUGUAUAGAUUCUAUUAUUUUAUCAUCUACAAUCUUCCAUUUAUUACUUAUUUUAGUAUUAACAUUUAUGUGAUUAUUUCUAAUAAAAGGGUUUUCUAUAUUAUUUUCUAAACAGUAAUUUUCAAACCAGUUAAAGAAAUAAAUAUUUAAUCUUAUUUCUUUAAGGUACGCAUAAUAUUUUUCUCUAUAAUCACUUGUUAUUUCUUUUGAGAAAGUAUCAAAAUACCAUUUUCUUUUAUCUGUAUUAUAAUCUGCUUCGAAAUCUUCUGUUAACUAGACUUUGUCUAUUUCAAAUUCUUCUUCUAAUUAAUUUACUCCUGUUGAAGUUGUGGGAAUUUAGAGAAAACGAUGAGAGAAAAUAAUCACUACGCGAAAAAUGGUAUUUUACAGCGUUUUUUUUAAGCCAUUACAGCGCUUUUUCAAAAAAUUAAGCGCUGUAGUAUCCAGCGCUGUAAAAAGAUACAACAGCGCUCUUUAAAAUAAAUAAAAAGCGUUGUAAAUCUCUUCUAAAAACGUGCUGCUUGUUGUAUUAGUUUUACGGCGCUUUUUAAAAAAAGCGCUGUAAUAUGCAUUCCUUUAUUUCAAUUAGAUCUCUUUCUGGGAUUAUAACAACAAUCUCCUUCAUAAAUCGUAAUAUACAGUAUCCGCAGUCUAUGUUGUUAGUUUGACGAGAGCACUAUAAAAUAAAACAUAUAAGUCAAUAAAUAUUUGUGGAUUGAUUGUUAAUGAAAUUUUAAAGCCAUACAUUUCAAACCUUUAUUAGAAUCCAUGUGAUUUAUUUGAUUUUUGCUUCGACACUGUAGCACCCAUUUGAGCUCGGAAAACUUGUAAAACACUAUCAAAUAAAUGUGAUUAUUAGCAUUAACAGACACAUUAUAUAUAUAUAUAUAAGAAAUAAAUGAAUAAAUGAAUACAAUACCUGAAGAGUGCGAAGAAAUACGUAGAGUUCAUAAGGUUACGGUUUCGUUUAAGAAGAAACAGCGAAGCCUAUUACAGCGCUUUUUUUAAAAAGCGCUGUAAAAGACCUUCUUAUUUUAUUUUUUAAAAGCCUAUUACAGCGCUUUUUUUAAAAAGCGCUGUAAAAGACCUUCUUAUUUUAUUUUUUAAAAGCCUAUUACAGCGCUUUUUUUAAAAAGCGCUGUAAAAGACCUUCUUAUUUUAUUUUUUAAAAGCCUAUUACAGCGCUUUUUUUAAAAAGCGCUGUAAAAGACCUUCUUAUUUUAUUUUUUAAAAGCCUAUUACAGCGCUUUUUUUAAAAAGCGCUGUAAAAGACCUUCUUAUUUUAUUUUUUAAAAGCCUAUUACAGCGCUUUUUUUAAAAAGCGCUGUAAAAGACCUUCUUAUUUUAUUUUUUAAAAGCCUAUUACAGCGCUUUUUUUAAAAAGCGCUGUAAAAGACCUUCUUAUUUUAUUUUUUAAAAGCCUAUUACAGCGCUUUUUUUAAAAAGCGCUGUAAAAGACCUUCUUAUUUUAUUUUUUAAAAGCCUAUUACAGCGCUUUUUUUAAAGAGCGCUGUAAAAGACCUCCUUAUUUUACUUUUUAAAAGCCUAUUACAGCGCUCUUUUUAAAAAGCGCUGUAAAAUACCUUCUUAUUUUAUUUUUUAAAAGCCUAUUACAGCGCUUUUUUUAAAGAGCGCUGUAAAAGACCUCUUUAUUUUACUUUUAAAAGCCUAUUACAGUGCUUUUUUAAAGAGCGCUGUAAAAGACCUCCUUAUUUUAUUUUUUGAAAGUCUAUUACAGCGCCCUUUUACAGACAUUUUAAAGCGCUUGUCCAAAAGCGCUGUAAAAGACCUCCUUAUUUUUUUUUAAAAACCUUUUUACAGCGCUUUUCCAAAAAGCGCUCUAAUAGGUCCUUUAAUUAUGUGAAAUCAAAGUCUUUUACAGCGCUUGUCAAAAAAGCGCUGUUGUAUCCUCCAUUAUUUUUAAAAUAUCAUACAACAACGCUUGUAUUUAAUAAGCGCUAUAAAAUGUCAUUUUUGGCGUAGUGAAUAAAGGCUUGAAUAUUAUUGAUAAUAGCUUAAUGUUGACUUGAUUACAAAAGACUCAAUAUUAAUCUCUAUUUAUAGAGAAACAUAGACUCAAUCCUAAAUCAAGAAUAAAUCAUAAUAAUGAGAGAUAUUCUAAGAUUCUCUAUGAUUAUAAGUUGAUCAUAGAAAAUAGCUCAAGAUACUCUAAUAUAAUAUAAAAGAUAUUGUAAGAUAUUUUCUAAUAUUCUAACACUCUCCCUCAAGCUAAAGCUGACUAAGCUUUAACUUGCUACAAGAUAACAAUGUUUUGCUCCGCAAAAUAAUAAAAAAAAGAUGGAAAGGCAACUCAAGGAUGCAGGUGAAGUCGAAGACAAUUGCUAUAAAUACAGCCUAGAUAGAUAGCUGGAAUGAUCUAUAACAUGAGAGAAAUUCAUGGCAAGCAGUUGAACAACGCAAGGUCCGUCCUUCUAAAAAACUGCAUUUGGAAGCUUCAUACCAAUAAUAUCAGAGACUCAAAAUAUUUAAACUUGAAUUUUUUUCAAGGAGAGAGAGGCAUGCUUCAAGUAGAGAAAGGCAAGGCCAGUACAUCUGGGACAAAGAUGGGGUCAGUGUAUCUAGGACAAAUUGCCAAGUUGUAUGCAUGUGGUUCGAAAGAAAAAAAAAACUUAAAAUAGAUCUGAAACUAGGAAGGAAAACUCAAUCUAGAUGAAUGAAACAUUAUGCAAGAAAGCGGACAGGCGCGUUUGAGCUCGUGUGGAGCAACUUUUGACCUUAAAGAAAAUCUGAGUUGGGUAGAUUGGGAGAUUCCGCACACAAUGGAAGUGGUUGUGUUGGAAAACGUUUCCAGCAGCAACGGCAGAUGGCAGCAGUAGAAGACGGGACAUCAGCAACGAUAGGCAGCAGACGGCGGCGGCAACAGAUCUACUCGCAAGCAAAUUUACCAAAAUUAGUGGCAGCGGCGACAGUAGCGAAUUGAAUGGAAAACGAGUGAAACAUGUCAAAAUGUUGAAAAAGAGAAACUAUGAUUAUAUUCCCUAACUAUUGGGAACUCAACAGCGGAAUAGAGGCAAGAUCGUUCAAGGAGGACCGAAAUCGGGUCUAGAUACCAUGUUGAAGUUGUGGGAAUUUAGAGAAAAGGAGGAGAGAAAAUAAUAAGGGUUUGAAAAUCAUUGAUAAUAGCUUAAUGCUGACUUGAUUACAAAAGACUCAAUAUUAAUCUCUAUUUAUAGAGAAACAUAGACUCAAUCCUAAUCAGGAAUAAAUCAUAAUAAUGAGAGAUAUUCUAAGAUUCUCUAUGAUUAUAAGUUGAUCAUAGAAAAUAACUCAAGAUACUCUAAUAUAAUAUAAAAGAUAUUAUAAGAUAUUUUCUAAUAUUCUAACAACUCCUUAUACCUGAGAUGUUGUUGGUGACAUCUCUGGUGACUCUAAUUCUUGACAAUCUGGACAAGGCUCAUAUAAUGGUUGAGGUAUUGAGGGUACGAAAUCCACUUAUGUUAAGUUAAUAUUAAUGGUAGAUCUUGAAUCUACUGAUUUUCUAGAGCUUGUUUCAGAUAAAUAUUUUAAUGACUUAUCAGUUAUAAAAGACUGACUUCGAUUCAUUCUAAUUCUUAUACUACCAUCCUCUUCUAAAAUAAACUGUCUAGGUUUUCUAGAUUCUAUUCUAGGUGUUGGCAUAAUUUCUUUUAAUACUCAUUCUUUUGGUAGUUUAGCAAUAAUGUCAAAAACCUUUAGUUUUUUAGGGGUUGUAAUAUUAGAAUGUUUUAGAUUUGCUUCAACAAUUACAGUUUCAUUUCUAGGUAUAUUUCUUAAUGCUUUAAAAUUAUAAUUUAUAUUUGAAACGUUAUAUUUAAUUUUGUAACAUAUAUCGAUAUUAGCUACUCCUUCAUAAAACAAAUCAUCCAUACAUUGAAUAUUAAUAACUAAAGACCUUUUAGUAAAACUGUUUUCUAAGUUCAUAGAGUAAUUUGGAUAACAAAUAAAAUAAACAGGACCAUCAUUUAAAUUUGAUUCUAAUAUAUAAAUAUUGGAUUCAUUAAAUCUUUUAAUUCUAUUAUCACGUAGCACUAAUAAUAUGGGAGUAUUUAGUCCUAACUUAUGUAAUGGUUUAAUAGCAACUUGUAUUAAUCCUAAGUGAAUAUAACGAAAUCCUUGUUUGAUAUGCUCAUCAAUUAUUUCUUCAUUUAAUAAAUUAAUAGUUUCACGAUGUUCAACUAUUGAUUUGGAAGAUUCUAAUGUAUGGCUAAUUUCCUGAGAUCUAAAUUUGUAAAACGUACUAGUUUUAUAUAUUUCUUUAUAUUUAAUGUCAGACAUAUUCCAAUUUUGUAAUUUAUUUUCUAUUUCUGCUAUUUGUAACUCUUUGUUUUGAUAAUUGUCAUGGUCAUUUUUAUUAUCUAAUUCUUCUAUAGAUAAUGAAGUAGAAAGUAUCAUGGUUUUAUCUCUUCUUCAGGAUCCUAGUUCGCUCAAGGUUCUAAGGAAUUGGGCCAUAUUUCUAUUGUUUAAACUUAAGGUUUCAAAAUCUUUCUCUUCUCACGGGACCACUGAUAUAUCUAUUCUGGGAACACCCUACCUUUCUCUUGGGAAUUACGGCUUACCAACAGAAUCAACCACAGUUGACCAACGUUUUGAUAAUUAAGAUUUUUAAAAACUUAAGUUUAAAAUACAAGAAAUAUAAUCUAAUUCCUCAGAGUCCUCUUACAAGGCUCUGAUACCAUAUUGAAGAUGAUGUAAGACCAUGAUAAACAUAAGUAUACCAUAAUUCAAUAAAGCAAAACAUAAUACAUAAAGAGUUAUGUGAAAAUAAUGGUAAAUCGUCAAGAAAUAUAUCUAAUUUAGUUGUUAAUAAGAAAACAGUUUGAAAAACUAAUUGAAAGUAAGGAAAGUUCAUAAAUUUGUUCAUGAUUAAAACUUACAAUUAUUUCUUUCAGAGAAUGAGGGAAUUGCAAGGAAACGACUGACAAACUUUUCAAUACUUUUGCGAAUGCCUUACAUAAUAAAUGACCACUUCCUUUUAUAAUGGAAGGAUGGGUCUCAAAUUACAAUAAUACCCCUAAAUUUUUUAGAUAACUUUCAAUAAAGCAAAUAGUGAAACAGUAAAAGCUAAUAAUACAUUGUCAUUUUCAAAAGUAACCUAAUCAUUCAUUACUUUAGUCAAAAGUGACCAUCAGUCGGGGAAUCUUUAAUGAUAACAAGGUGUUGUCAUAUCUUGUCUUCUUAAUAAUUCAGAUGCCUUUAAUGUCAUUUUUAUUUUUCAAUAAUUCAAAAUCAUCAUGCCUCCUUAAUAACUCAGCUACCUUUAAUAUCACAUUUUGUUUCUUUAAUAUUAUUAAAGAAAAUGGAUAAGUGGUGUCAACCAACAAAAUGAAAUUAUUUCAGGAUAAUAUUAGAUUUUUAGGAUUCAACAUUUAUCAAGGAACAAUAACACCAAUUAGUAGGUCAAUAGAAUUUGGAGAAAAAUUUCCUAAUAAAUUAAGAGACAAAACUCAAUAAUAAUAAUAAUAAUAAUAAUAAUAAUAAUAAUAAUAAUAAUAAUAAUAAUAAGUAAUCAUAAUAAUAAUAUUAAUAAUAAUAAUAAUAAUAACAAGCUAAAUCCUAGUAGAAAAGGAUAUACUAAUGCAUUACUAAAAUGGUUAAACGAAUUUGUGUCAUUUGUAAUCCAACAACCAAACAUAUGAAAUAUAGAAAUUAGAUGUCGUUGUUCUGUUUGCAAAAAUAUUGAUUUCUUAGACUUUGAAGUUGUUAACAUUUAUAUUUUAAGGAAGUAGUUUAAACCUGACUAUUAGUAUUGGACAUCUCAUGGAGAAAGUGAUCCAGAGUUGCAUGUAGAAAUUAAAAGGAAAAAUAUGCACAAGAGCGACAUAACAAUCAUUUUAAUAAAUUUGAGAGCAUGGUUUAUGAUGUUAUUGGACCACAGUAUCAAAUGCAUUAUGAUGAAGAAUUAAAGGAUUCUUCAAAUAUAGAUGAUCAAAAGUUUUAUGAUUUACUAAAUGCAGCUCAAAAGCCAUUGUGACCGGGAUGCAACGAUAACACUGAAGUGUCUUUUGUUGUUAGAUUGUUGGCAAUUAAAUUAGAGGAAAAUAUUUGUCAACAAUCUUUUAAUCAAAUAGUGACACUUAUGAAGGACACAAAAUCUUUCAAAACUUGGUCUCACUGUGGAAAAAAUAGAUUGUUGUGUAAAUGGUUGUAUGUUAUUCUACACUGAUGAAUGUAAACAAUUAAAAGAAGGCAAGUUUUGUAAUGCACCUCGUUAUGAGAAAAAAAAAAGAUUGGUAGGCAUGAAUUCAAAGAGGUACCUAUGAAAAUAAUGCAAUAUUUACCGCUAAUUCCCAAACUUAAGAGAUUAAAUGCUUCGAUGAGCUCAGCUCCACAUAUGAGAUAACAUUAUGAAAAUAGACGAGAAUCAGGAGUGAUGUGUCAUCCAUCAGGUGGAGAGACUUGGAAACACUUUGAUCAAAUUUAUCCUUACUUUGUUGUUGAACCGAGGAAUGUAUACCGAUGGUUUUACCCCAUUUAGUCAUACUACCUAACCUUAUUCAUGUUGACAGAUAAUUGUCACUCCUUACAAUCUUCCUCCAGAACUAUGCAUGACAACUCCCUACACAUUUCUCACUUUGAUUAUUCCUGGACCACAUAAUCCAAAGAGCAAGAUAGAUGAGCUCAAAUAUUUAUGGAAUGAAAGAGUGCUUACUAAAUCGAUCGCUAUUAUAUUUAUUGAUCGCUAUUAUAUUUAUUGACCGCUAUUAUAUUUAUUGACCAAUUUUUUCCAUUUAAUAACCGAACAAUUGAUCUCUAAAAGCGCUUUUUCAAUAAUUCUAAUUCAUCAUUUCUCCUUAAUAAUUCAGCUACCUUUAAUGUCACAUUUUGUUUCUUUAACAUUAUUAAAGAAAAUGGAUUAGUGGUGUCAUCCAAGAAAAUGAAAUUAUUUCAGGAUAAUAUUAGAUUUUUAGGAUUCAACAUUUAUCAAGGAACAAUAACACCAAUUAAUAGGUCAAUAUAAUUUUGAGAAAAAUUUCCUAAUGAAUUAAAAGAUAAAACUGAAUAAUAAUAAUAAUAAUAAUAAUAAUAAUAAUAAUAAUAAUAAUAAUAAUAAUAAUAAUAAUAAUAAUAAUAAUAAUAAUAAUAAUAAUAAUAGAUAUAGGAGGAGGUCGUUAACAAAAUAAAAUUAAGUUGCUAGUAUAUGCAAAAUAGGAGUGACACCUUAUUUGUUUUGAUAUAUUUACUCAACGAUAUUAAUUUUGAGGUAUUUUUUUUCUAUUAAAUGUACUUUGAUUUUUUAAAAUAUUUUAUAAUCAUUUUUUCAAUGUUUUAUUUUUAUUAUUUAUAUUACUUUUUCAUUUAUUGGAUUGCAUUGGUCAGCACUCAAGUGGAUUAUGUGGUACUUAAAUGGCUCACUGACAGUAGGUUUAAAAUUCAAAAAGAAUCAUCAUGACAAUUAACCAAUCAAAUGAUAUGUGGACUCGGAUUAUGCUGGAAACAUGGACACUAGAAAAUCAAUUUGAAGUUAUGUUUUCACUCUAUAUGGGACUGUUGUAAGUUGGAGAGCAAUUACGCAGUCGGUGGUAGCACUUUCUACAACUCAAGUUGAAUUCAUUGCGCUUACUGAAGGUGUUAAAGAAGCUUUAUGGAUGAAAGGACUUAUUGGUGAACUAGGAAUGAAUCAGAAUUGUGUUUCAAUUUAUUGUGAUAGUCAAAUUGCUAUACACUUAUCCAAGCAUCAAGUGUAUCAUAAUAAGUCUAAACCUAUUGAUAUUAAGUAUCACUUCAUAACAGAUGUGAUCGUUUCAAAGCAAGUUUCACUUGAGAAGAUUGCAAUUAAGGACAACUCAGCUGAUGCAUUCACCAAAUCACUUUCACAAGCUAAGUUCAAGCAUUGUUUGGACAUAGUUGGCUUCAAAAAAGAGUACAGAUGAAGCAAUGGUAGCAAGAUCAAUGAUUGAACUAUUCUGAUAUUGAGUCAAGGUGGAGAAUUGUGAAUAUGUGCCUCAAAUCAUCUAACUAAAGUUAGUUAAGCUUUAGUGGUUUUUAUAACUACAUUUGGCAAGGUUAGUUAUGAUAGGUGUUUAUAGUUAAUUUGCUUGUGUAUACUAUAAGUAAAGUUGUAAUAUUGUAGCAGUUGUAAUGUUGUUGUUGUAGUAGUAAGAGCUGGAAACUAAGAGAGGCAUAUGCAACUCAUCAUAGAAUAUCAUAGAGAGAUGAUUAAAAUGAGAGAAAGAAAUAUUAAUAGAAAGGCUAGUAUUGAUGGUUCAUAAAUUGAGAAGGCUUUAAUCUUGUAGAGUUCAAUUAACAAUAGUGGAUUAAUCUUGCUUGCUUGCCUGUGAGACCGAACACGUAAAUUUUUUGUGUUAUUCUUUCCUUAUCCUUCUUUAAUUUUAAUGUGAAAACUGUUUCAGAACAUUCUCUAUUUUCAGCAGAAAAACCCAAAACGUUCUACGUUUUCUGGUUUUUUCAGUUCUGUCCAAAACGUUCUACGUUUUCUGGUUUUUUCAGUUCUGUCCAAAACGUUGUCUGUUUUCAGCAGAAAAUGCAGAACGCUCUCCUUUUUAUUUUUUAUCUACAAUUGCUUGUUUUUCUGUUUUGUGGGUUAACUCUUGUUGCAGAUCCCAAUAUUGUUUUAAGAGAAUGUAUUUAUAUCAAGUUUUCAGCUAAAUAGUAAAAAUCUCAUAGGGCGUGAGGAUGGGACGUAGCUCAAAGUUAAGGGUUAAUUAGGAUAAAUUUUUGUGUGAUUUUAUUUACUUUAAUCUUGUAACCUUGUACAUUAGUCACACUGCAUCAUUGCCAUUUACAUUUUAAGGUUUGUUCCUUUCUCAACUCUUUCAAUUUUAAAUUUCUAUAAUUUUCUAGUAAUUCUUGUUUCUUACUUAACAAUUUUGAUUCUAGUUCACUUACCUAUAUUUUUAAUUUUUCAAAUAUGGUUAAAUGUGGUUGAAAAAUAAUGAAAAGACUAUCAAAUUAUUAUAAUUUCAUUUAUUGAUUUCAGAUUGAUGUUAGGUUUUUGUUCUCUUUCAAGUUUUUAUUAUUCAUUGAGAAUGUGUUAUACAUGAUAUUAUUAUUUUGCUGUUAGUUUUUUGUGCUGGUUCAAGUUUUUAUGAUUCAAUGUGGAGCAAAAUGGUUAGUUCAAAUUCUACUAUGCUACAUUGCUAUUGUGCUGCAAUAGCGGCUAUUUGACAACACUUUAUACCUAGCUAAUAGUGUAUUGUUGAACAAUACUGAUUUUAUAAAAAAGAAGAGUGGUUCAAUUAAUUAGUCCAACCAGAUUCACUUUCACUGUUGUAUUGUGAUUUUGACAUUUGAAUAUAAUUUUGAAUCAUUGUUGUUGUAUUAGUUGUUGAGUUGCUAUUUUCCAAAGUUUGAUUUUGGUUGUGAUUAAGGAAAUUAAUAUAUGAGAAAUGUAUACAUAUAUUUAAUACUUUUUCGAUUUAGGAACUCCUAUAAAAUCUAGCCAAAUAGAAAGUUCAUCCUCCAAGAAGACUGAAGAUGUCAUAAAAAAGGAAAGCUCAGAGUAUCCUCUAUCUGAGGAUGAGGAUGAACUCGCUCUGAUUUCCAGAAGAAUUCAGAGGAUGAUAAAUAGAAGAGGAUAGGAUAAAAGAUAUCGUCAAAAAGAAAAAACUGACAAUAGUUAGAUAACUUGUUUUGGAUGCAACAAUAUGGGACACUACAAAACCGAGUCCUCUAAACAAAAGAAACUCAAAAAGAUUUCCCUUCAAAAAUAAAUCUAUGAUGAUUACUUGGGAUGAUAGUGAUGAGUCAUCCUCUGAGAAAUAGAAGGAAGAAUAGGUCAACCUUUGUCUCAUGGAAAAAUCAGAUACUGAAAAGGUAAUCAUCUUAGAACUAUGUCCUACGUGUGAAAUGAGAAAUUAUCUGAGCAACAAACUUUUUUAAAUAAAAAGAAAGUCAAAAGUCAUCCUCCAGAAGAGGACACAGAAAAGGAAAUCUUGAAAGUAGAAGUUGAAGAACUAAAAAAUGACAUUAUCAACUUUGUUAAAUCUACUGAAACAUUUCAAAAGAUUAUGGGAUCUCAAUCUGGAAUCUUUGACAAAGCUGGUAUUGGAUUUAAAAGUUCUCAAAAACAAAAAUUAUACGAAAAUUUUUUCCUGCCUAAAAACAAGAGGAUAGGCCAAAAUGUACGUUUUGGAAAAAACUUGGACAUACUUUCAAAAACUGUCAUGCUAAGAAGAAAGCUGACAACAUAAAGAAAGUAAGUUCAUUUUGUGGUAAACACGAGCACCAUGAUCCUGUUUGUUAUCACAAAAGGAAAAUCCUCACAAGAGGAAAAACUAAUCAACAGGGACCCAAUGUUAUAUGGGUACCCAAGUUACUUUUAACCUCUAACACAGGUUCAUCCUCUGAUCAACAAAAGAAAGCCUUGGUACUUGGACAGUGGCAGCUCAAGGCAUAUGACAUGGAAUCUGAUUACAAACCUUUAUUAACUCCUAAUAACUAUUCCCUCUAUUUUUCAAUGGCUACAAAAUUCCUUCAAAUUCUUUGAUCAAAUCACUCAAAAACUCUGAUUAUUUAUCCUCUUCUUGGAGUGGAUAACCAACCAUCUUAUAAACCCCAGGAAGUCAUCCUCAUGUCUUGCCACAUCAACCUCUUCAACCAAUCCUCACUGUCCUUCAACCUCGUCCUCCUCUGAUGACUUUUUCUCCGUCCACAUCGACCAUUUUGAAAUAUCAGCCUCAUUAAUAUGAAGUCUCUUUAUGGUUCAAAUUCAUGUUUCAAAACUUUGGCAUAUGUUCAAGGGGAGUAAUUUUUUUGAAAAAUUUAAAAAAGUUACUCUUAUGAUUUAGGGGGAGCAUAAACAUUUUAUCUCAUAAUUUUUUUAUAUUUAAAAUCAUAAUCUAAAUAAUUGUGUCAUCAUAAAAAAGAGGGAGAUUGUUGAGACAAAAUCUCUCUCAAAUGGUUUUAAUGAUAACAAAAUUAUUUAAAAGAUUAUGAUUGUGGUUAAUGACUAAUCUGUGCUUUUGAGUGAAUUCAUAUCAUUAAGACAAAAAAGAGAAAAAUCUGAUUCAAAUCUGGAGAAUUGGAAUUCGAGAGGAUGACCUCGUAAGAGGAUAAAGCUUCAAAUCUGCAAAAUACUGAUCCUCACCAAAACAAAUUCUUUUAUUCAUUAAAGUAAAGGCAAAAUAAAGCUUUUGAAGUAAAGAAGUCAGAUGGCAAAAGAAUAGGUACGAGGAGGGAUUAUACUAGGAUGGGUUUAUGGUCAAUAUCUUGGAAAGCAACCCAACACUGUUGAAAGCAACCCAUCAUAUCAUAUGCAAAGGCUAAAAGUAGACCUAUAUAUCAUUCUUGUAUGAUUGAAAACAAUAUAGAGUCAAUCUUCAGAAAUGCAACAACAAACAAGCCAAAAAUAGAAGCCUUCACAUGUCUUGAAGAAAGGAAAUCUGACCCACGUGCUUAAGGAUGGUUCUCUAUUGUCAACAUCGCUCUCAAAAGUUGAAAAUGACCUAGCACUUCAAAGUUCAUAAUGAUUGUAGCCGACAGUCAAAGCUAUAGCCUUACAUGUCUUGAAGAAUGAGAAAAGAAAAGGACAGCUCAAGGCCAAGUUCCAAGGAGGGUGAUCCUCCUGCUCGGGGAUGGACUAAGUCUGUCCAAGGACAGUUGGAUGGCAGUUCUCUAAAUAUGAUGAAAGACUUUGGAGUUUUUGAAUUAUUUUCCCAACGGUCAUAAAGAGCUUGGCACAUGGAAGGAUCAUCACAAGACUUAUGUAUAAGGCAACAAGCCCUUCAUCAUUAAUGAUACAACAACAUUGCAUAAAAAUAUCAGGUAUCUUAAAGCUAUUAAGAGAAAUAUCCAUCAUCUCUUCAUACUUUCUAUAAUCCUACACUAGAUCUUUGAAAUAUCUUUUUAGAAAGUAUUUAAGAAAAGAGAAACAAUCAUAUUCAUAUCUCUUUGUAAUUUCCACGUGAGUUACACUUGGAAAUAGUUUGGAACUUGUAAGAAACAAGAUUGUAAGCUUAGUGAGGCUAUAGAAUACACAAAGUGUAAGUAACAUCUGUUAGAGGUUGAUCAAUUUGAUCAUUAGUGAAAUAUCACAAGUGUGUGACGACUGGACGUAGCCUUCAUUGGGUGAACUAGUAUAAAAGUUGUGUGUGUCAUUCUUUACAUUUUCUCUUUCUUUUACUCUACACAAAUUUAAAAGGCUUAAAUAACCAUCAUCGAGUUCGCAUCCUCUCAGAGAUGAUAGCUUUUAAAAAACACGUGAAAAAUAUUUUAACUAAAAUAAUAUUGGUAGUAUGAUGCAUAAUGAGAAAAUAAUGAUAGUAUACAUAAUUAGAAAAUGAUAUUUAAUUUUAUUUUAGUGGUAGAAUAGAAAAAAAACCAAAAAAAGAGACGAUUGGAAUACGCUUUAACUAGAAAAAAAAAGAGACGAUUGUAAUACCACCGCCUUAAUCCGCGAAUAACUAUCUAUAUUUAUAUUGAUCAGUUCUGUUCUCAAUCAACACAAGAACAACGUUGUUGUUUACGCACUAACGAUCGGAACGAAAGCUCUCUCUCUCUCCCUCGAUCUCGCUCUCUUCUUCUUUGUCAAGCUCUACUUUACAAUCUCUCGUUCUCCCUCUCCCUCUCACUUUUCUCAUUGUUACUUUUUUUAGUUUUACUCUUUGGUUUGUCUAUGUGGCUAUUUUGUGGUUCUUUGAUUCUUUUUUUAGGUUUUUCUGUCCGUGAUGGAUUCCCCGCCAGGUACUCCGAUUUCAUCACUCUCUCAUACGGUGGCCACUCCGUCACUUCCGUCGGCACCGAAAGAGAAACCCCAACAGUCUAUGGCAAGGUUUAUUCAGCACUCUUUAGAUGAUAUUACCGAAAUGGUUCAGGAAAUUAUUCUAAGGCCUGAGUACAGCCAAGAAGCAUUGAAUUCUGAGAGAGAAAGAAAAAUGCGCAUUUUGAUGUCACUGCGAUAGUCAUUCAUUGCUUGCGUGAGUAUGAUUCUUGUGUUGGUUGGUAACUUGGUAUGAUUCUCUGUUCCUUUAUUCCUUUCAAUUUAUAUUUGGUAAGAAUCUAAGUGUAUAGAUUUAUAUACGUUUUUAUGCCAAAAUAUAAAAUAUGCCUUCGAUCUUGAUUUUUAUGCUAAAGAAAGUACCUAUUUUAUAUUAUGAAUCUAUGAUGAAUGAUGAUACUUCUAUAGACGGAUAUGUGUUAGGUAACAAUUUAUCUGUUUCAAUUGUUUAUGAUUCUUAUUCUAAAAUCUAUAAUAAGUCUCCUAAAGUUAGUCCUCUUUAUCUUUUUAUCUUAAUAUUGUUUAUGUUAUGUCAAUGCCACUCUUGUAACUAUUCGAAUAUUUGAGUACUCACUACCAACAUGUUCUAAUACCCUCUCAUUCACUAUCUAAGGUAUGUUCUUUUCUUUGCCAAAACUAUUUUGAAUCUAUUACUAACUUGAUCGUUGGAGUCUUUGCAGGUACCACACCCAUUGCUCAUGAGCAGGAACAACUUUGGCAACAACAAUUGGUCAAUCUAAUCUACUUCAUAUUUGGACAAUCAUUCUAGAAAUGAACAUGUAAGUAGUAUCUUAAUUACUGCAUCUCUUCUAUGUGGAAAAAGGUGAGAAAUUUAUGUGAUUCAAUUGUUUAUGACUCUCAUUCUAGAAUCAAUCAAUCUCUUAAAAUUAGUCCUCUUUUUCUUUUAUCUUGAUAUUGUUUAUGUUCUGUCAUGCCCCCUUCUGGUAACAAUUUAUAUCUGCAUAAUGGAUCACACAUUUUAUUGCGAUGUCGGUGGCAUGUCCCUGUCCUUCUCAACCUCCAAGUGUCGUUUGUGUGCUCGAUGUUGAAAUCGGCCUACAUUCAAGAGAUGUAAGCAUACAUGCAGUAUAUUCCACCACAAGCCUUUCUAGAUCAUAACUCCAAAUUCUAUGAUUGAGUAUUUCUUUUCAACACUUGUUAGGAUAAGGCAAUAGUAUAUAAUUGAAACCAAGAGAUCUCUAUUCAACACAUGUCCAGUGCUUCCUCUACUUACAUCAAGUGGCCAUUUUACUUCCUCUGGUUCACAAUAUGUCUAGAUUGAUGUGCAACUUUGAAGUUCUAGGAUGUCAGAUUAUUUCCUUUCUUUGUAGUGUUACAAUAUUGUUUCAUUUGGCCUAUUGUUUUAAUCUUGACCUUAAUUUGUAUAAACUUCAGUUUCCAUGACAUUGUUAUGUUUA